rnacentral:lncRNA from 1 species
UUUAUUAUACGUACGUAAUCAUACCAAAAAGAAAUUCGAUAGAGUAUUUUUUUUUUUUUUUAAAUUCGAUACAGAAUAUGGCUUAUAUAUAGAUAUCAUCAUUUUAACCUGCAAAAAUAAAAUAUUAAAAUUGAUAAGUUAAGAGUCUAGAACUAAUUCGAUUCACAAAGAUAGAAAUUAAGAAAUUUUAUUAAAUUUACGAAUUAAUUUAUGGUAUAAAAUCCUAAUUUGGUAUGAUUAUUAACUUGGUUAUUAUUAAUAAAUUAAUUAAAUUUGGUAUAUACGAAUCCAUAUUAAGAGAGUAACAAAAUAUGUCAUAUUAGUAUGUAGCAUCCAUUAAUUGUUAGAGUUAAGAUUGUAUUUUUACAUAAGAAUGAAAUGACAUGAUUUAUUAAAUUAAUUAUGUGUCUAUGUGACAUGACAUGCCACAUAGGAUUAAAACCAUAAAUCUUAGGCCUUAUUAAGACCCUGUAACACUAGCCAACCCUAAACCCCAUAGCCGCCAAGUGCGCACCACCAAUAACACUGGUAGCAUCGGUGAAAGUUACACCGCACCAUUAUGAAGUAUGUAAACAAAUUAAAAUAGUGAGUAUAUAUAUAUAUAUAUAUAUAUAAAGCCCUUUUUGGCUGCGGACGUCCGCACCGAAGGUUUCGGUGCGGAUUUCUAUUUUUGCACCACUUUCCGAUCGAAUUUCCUCAUCUCCACCGUGUAAUAUCUAGAUAAUAUUGUGUAGAUCAUCUCUGUAAAAUUUCAGCCAAUUUGGUGAUUGUUAAGGCCCUCAAACUCGAGUUUUUCUGGUAUGAACACAACCGGACAAAAUUCAGUCCGUCCAUUUGUUUUUCGAGUUUGAGGGCUUUAACGAUUACCAAAUUAGCUGAAAUUUUGUAGAGAUGAUCUACANNNNNNNNNNNNNNNNNNNNNNNNNNNNNNNNNNNNNNNNNNNNNNNNNNNNNNNNNNNNNNNNNNNNNNNNNNNNNNNNNNNNNNNNNNNNNNNNNNNNNNNNNNNNNNNNNNNNNNNNNNNNNNNNNNNNNNNNNNNNNNNNNNNNNNNNNNNNNNNNNNNNNNNNNNNNNNNNNNNNNNNNNNNNNNNNNNNNNNNNNNNNNNNNNNNNNNNNNNNNNNNNNNNNNNNNNNNNNNNNNNNNNNNNNNNNNNNNNNNNNNNNNNNNNNNNNNNNNNNNNNNNNNNNNNNNNNNNNNNNNNNNNNNNNNNNNNNNNNNNNNNNNNNNNNNNNNNNNNNNNNNNNNNNNNNNNNNNNNNNNNNNNNNNNNNNNNNNNNNNNNNNNNNNNNNNNNNNNNNNNNNNNNNNNNNNNNNNNNNNNNNNNNNNNNNNNNNNNNNNNNNNNNNNNNNNNNNNNNNNNNNNNNNNNNNNNNNNNNNNNNNNNNNNNNNNNNNNNNNNNNNNNNNNNNNNNNNNNNNNNNNNNNNNNNNNNNNNNNNNNNNNNNNNNNNNNNNNNNNNNNNNNNNNNNNNNNNNNNNNNNNNNNNNNNNNNNNNNNNNNNNNNNNNNNNNNNNNNNNNNNNNNNNNNNNNNNNNNNNNNNNNNNNNNNNNNNNNNNNNNNNNNNNNNNNNNNNNNNNNNNNNNNNNNNNNNNNNNNNNNNNNNNNNNNNNNNNNNNNNNNNNNNNNNNNNNNNNNNNNNNNNNNNNNNNNNNNNNNNNNNNNNNNNNNNNNNNNNNNNNNNNNNNNNNNNNNNNNNNNNNNNNNNNNNNNNNNNNNNNNNNNNNNNNNNNNNNNNNNNNNNNNNNNNNNNNNNNNNNNNNNNNNNNNNNNNNNNNNNNNNNNNNNNNNNNNNNNNNNNNNNNNNNNNNNNNNNNNNNNNNNNNNNNNNNNNNNNNNNNNNNNNNNNNNNNNNNNNNNNNNNNNNNNNNNNNNNNNNNNNNNNNNNNNNNNNNNNNNNNNNNNNNNNNNNNNNNNNNNNNNNNNNNNNNNNNNNNNNNNNNNNNNNNNNNNNNNNNNNNNNNNNNNNNNNNNNNNNNNNNNNNAUAUAUAUAUAUAUAUAUAUAUAUAUAUAUAUACACACACACGAGGCCUCAUACAGUAUAUAUGUAAAUGAAACUUGGUUUCUUCUUUGAUUGUGAGCAAGAGAGCAGGGCCAUGAACGAUAUCAUAUAUUGACGUGGAUAGGACUGAUGGGAGUGUAUUGGCUCGCACCAGUGAGUGAGCAGGGAAAAUGAGAAAAAGAAUAGCUAGGUUCAUGAUAUCAGAAAAGAGGAGAAGCAGUCCCCUAGCUAGGGUUGUUAAAAUUAUAGCUCGGUCGAGGCUCACACAGCUAGCUAGCUUUGCAUGCGCCACCUCUUUCACCCCGUUUUUCUGCUUUUGGUAAAGAUCGACGUAAAGGUGUCGUCAAAGAAUUAAAUGAGUUGAAAGCUGUGUGUUCAUCUAACCCUUUCUUCUAUCAUUAUACUGCCAAAGAAAUGAAAGAAUUAUUUGCAGAUUUUUUUUGCUUCAGCAUUCAAGUAGUCAAUUUUCAGAUUUAGAGUUCCAUCUUAAGUCAGCGAUCCAUUAUAUAAAAACGAAUCUAAAAUUCUAAAUGGUGAAACAUAUCGAUCUUGGUAAUUAUUAGGACAUGUAGCAGUACCCUGUCGUAUAAGGCAUCAAAAAUGUCAAUGCUGAUCUGGAAUUCUGGAUGCAAAACGAAUACAAACUACAACUAGUGUGAUUUAUCUAUUUGGAUAACAAUAUAGUAGUCAGUAUUUGAAAUCUAUGGCACAUAUAUUCCUGCUAAAAACAAUGGCAUUAUUGAAAUCUAAUUUCAUAUAAGUAAUCCUGCACCAACUCUAAGACUUGAAGACUCCAAGCAUAUUCUAUCACAACCAAACAAAACUAGAAGAAGAUGAGGAGAAAAGAAAUAAAGAAAACCGUAAUGUCAACUUCGAUGAAUGGCAUGCUUUGUAGUGACAUAAGAAAAACUAGAUUGUAGCACACACGUAUAUGCCUUCAAGAUUGGUGUGACUCAGUCGGUUGCUAUAUAUAUAAAAUUUACGAGUAAAAACUAACAAGUCUAUGUCAGUUUGUAAACUAUAUAGAACAACAACAAGCAUGUUAAACAACUUAUAAGUUGUGGAUUAGAUCGCCCCAAACUCGUUUAUAUAAAUCGAAGUCUGUUGGAAGAUUCUCCAUUUUAGGUUUUAUAAUUCAAAUGGCAUGCCAUCAUCUCUCAUGCAUUUACCGUUUCCUUCACGUACAUGCCCUAGAAGAAGAAAAAACGAAAAUGGCAUCAGCACCACGAUUUGAUUAAACAAGUAAUCGGAUAAAUGAUUUGAUCGAUAAAAGAACUCAGUUCUGCUCCUAUCGAGCUCGCACAAGUUUCACAACUGUUAACAUGGUCGCCAGUGGCGGCCAGCCGUCAACGUUUUCUCCAACCCGCACCAGAAACCCUAGCUCGAUCCUGACAGUAACAGCCUCCAGCUACUAGCCUCCCAUACGACACAUGGUUUAGUCUUCAUUUAGAUAAAAAUACAGAUCAGAUCUAAUGGUUUUCAGUCAAUAUCUGGGGUAAUUUCAUUAUCUAAGUCAUUCAUCCGUUCAUCGUUUAUGUAAACAAUAGAUACGUCAAUGCUAGAACUACCUGUACCAUUUUUACCGACUUGCAUGUCAUUUCAAUGAUCCAAUGUGCAUUUGGUGCAGUUUUGCACACCUUUACCUGCCGUGUAUAUCACCCAAGAUUAGUAAACUCAGCUAGUAAUUGAAAGAAAACUUCAUUAUGUAAUAUAAUCAGGUGCCACGUAAACCACCAAAACACCUAUAAAUUUAUAUACCCAGACCCAGCAAUCUUAAUUAAUGGGUAAAUUCACUAAUUCAGUGUACGUAAUUAGGUGGGCAGCUAAUUUAAGUUAAUUAAAGAAACCCUUGUUCUAUCCUGACGUUGGUUUUAAUUGUUUGUACUCUAGCAAGAAGUCAAUUAACGUAGCAUUCAACAUUUCAAAACCACCCGAAAGUUGCUAGCUGCAAGUUCAAUGGCUCAUACCUGUAGCUAUACGUCCUCAACUCGAUCAUCAUCUUAUCUGUUGCUAUUUCAAAUCACAAGAAAGAUGACCUAUAUGAUUAUGAGAACCCUACAUCUCAAAUCUAUUGCAUGUUGAUUGGUUCAUGUACUACAAAUCAUCACAUAGUAUAUAUGGUGUUUGAACUCUACUGCGGAAACGUUACUGUAGAGAGAUCAUGCUGCAAAAUUCUCGAUGAUAUGUAUGCCAAGAUGAUAUUGUCGUCUCACAUACAUCAUGAUUUUGAGAACUCGAUCUUAAAAUUAAGUUAACCUAAGUUACAAAAGAAAAAAACAUUCAUUCAAUUAUAAAAGCUAUAAUAUUACAAAGAUAUAUAGCUUGGAUCUUUGUCCUGCUUACUGUAUAUCCUCUCCCAUUAGCAAGGUUAUUGCAGGACUAAAGACAACUUAAAUCCCACAAACUAUAUACAUAAACCAGACAGAUACAUCUUAUAUCAACCCAAGCUUACACAUACAUACAUAUAUGAUCACAUUCAUCAUUCAUAGAUAUAAAAUUAGCUAGAACUGAUUAAUGGCAACCAUACGAGACGGGCUGAGAAGAUGAUAAGACCCAUAACGCUUAGCAAAUCCGCAACCUCGAGAAACCUUAUCAACACCAUCACCACCGCAAUCCUCCAUUUCCAGCAACACCUUGUAGAACACUUGAACGUCACAAGGAAGCACGAGAGGACCUUUACUAUGGUACCCGAAUUCAGACUCGGCUUCCUCAAGCAGCAACUUGAACAAGGGAUGAUUUGCGUACUCAGUUUUCACCACAAACCUUUGCUUUUCAGAUCCAACGUAGACGGAGAAGCAGCCUUCUGGAGCCACCUGGCGACGGUGACGACGACGAUCAUCAUCAUCAUCCGUCAUGGAAAGGACGAUGUGCGGACAUGAUUUGCUCUUCUUCGUAAGAGCAGGUACGGCCGGAGAGGAAGUAGCAGUGCCAGUGCUAGUAAUACUACUCUUGCGGCCGAUGGAUUUGCAACGCUCCCAUGUUUUAGUUAUCAAGCCCUUCUUACCUUUCACCUUCAUUCCUUCCAAUGAACAAUAACAACGAAAAAGAAGAAAAGAAAAAAAAAAGAUGUAUAUGGGUGUUAGGCUCAGGAACCACACACAGCACCACCCUCCAUACUUGAAUUCUGGACAGAGUACAGGCUUAACUCAAGGAUCAGAUCGAUCAGGUGGGACUUAACCCCUGUCAUAGACCAAAUAAACCAUGACUUUCACCCUCGGCAUCAUUGUAUUACUCAUACUUCCUCAAUGAACAAGCAAAAACAAUAUGCUGAAAAAGACUGAUGAUCCCGGAGUUUUAAGAACGGGGAAUUUAUGAAGAAGAGGUGGACUGGUGGAGUAGGUGACUAGGUGUUUUUGGAGAAGAGUAAUGAAGAAUGGUGGUAAGAUCGAGGAGGAUAAAAAGGAAGAGGGAAUUGGGUAAAAGCUUCACGAGAUAAGCUCUAGCUCUGUGAAGCCGUAGCUUGCUUUGCGUCUUUGCUGGGCAAAACUCUAAGCAUGCAAAAGAGGUAUAUAUAAAGCCCACAUGUAUCGUAUUUUAUUCUUAAAUCGAUCGUCCCCUCCACUUGUCUUCACUGAUAUACCCACUUGUCAACGCUGGAGAGCUACCUGUUUAACUAAGAGGAAGCUUUUCAAAUCAUGCCCAACUUAAACUCAUUUAUCAUCUUGAUAUCUUAAUUUUAAAAACUAUUACAAUGGUAUCUCAAUAUUUAAACUCAACCCAAUAUUAGUUCAUUCCGUUAUUAAUACCGUUAAGUUAGAGUUAGUCCAUAGAUAAAAUUGUCUCUUCAUGUUUUUCCUCCCUAAACAUUUUCCCUCCACAAACUUUUCUCUCUAGAAUAUAUCAUUUUUCCCAAAAAUUAGAGACAUAUAGAAAUUAUAAUACACCAUUGGCCAUUAAUAUUAAUCAAAAUACAACCACUAUUACAUAAGAGUUUACAAGAUGAAGAACUUGAAGUCUCUAACUGCUUACAAAAAUUCCCAGAUUAGCAAUAUAAUUACCAGUUGAUUGUACAUGCCAAUAAAAGCUUCUGAAAAUUAAAAUACACUAUUGGCCAUUAAUAUUGUCUCAAAAUAUAACCAUUGUUACACAAAAGUUACGAGUCAAGCACUUGAACGCUGCAGUUGCUUGCAGAACCUCUCAAAAGAGCAUGGAUAGUGAAAUCAAAGAUCACACAAAAGUUGCUACCAUAAACAGUUGGUUAUACAUGCCAAUAGAGUAAUUAUAUAGUCCUAAUAAAAUUAUAUAUAUUAGACAGUGGUAGGAUCAGUAGGGGUUUCGACAUUGUUGUCGACAGGAACUUCAAUGUUCUCAUUUGAAACUUCAACAUUCACAUCUGGCACUUGUUGCUGCACAACAAUAGUGAAGUUAGGUUUUUAUUUAAUAUAAGAAUGUAUAAACUGGCUAAUAAAUGUAGUCCAAAAGAUGAAUGGAACCUGGUUUCUUCUUUCACAACAAUAGUGAAGUUAGGUUUUUAUUUAAUAUAAGAAUGUAUAAACUGGCUAAUAAAUGUAGUCCAAAAGAUGAAUGGAACCUGGUUUCUUCUUUCACAACUCCUCCUGUUGUGGCCUUUCUUAUGACAUAUCCCACAUGUGAUUGUUGUUUAGAAACUCUUGGGCAACUUUGUAGUCCCUGGAGCAGGUGGUUCUUCACCUAUAAUAAAGAUAUGCAGUUUAAUGUCUGUACAAGUUAUUUAAAUUAAUGGUAAUAGUGGUUGUAUUUUGAUUAAUAUUAAUGGCCAAUGGUGUAUUAUAAUUUCUAUAUGUCUCUAAUUUUUGGGAAAAAUGAUAUAUUCUAGAGGGAAAGGUUUGUGGAGGGAAAAUGUUUGGGGAGGGAAAACAUGAAGAGACAAUUUUGCUCAUGGACUAACUCUAACUUAAUGGUGUUAAUAACGAAAGGAACUAAUAUUGGGUUGAGUUUAAAUGUUGAGGUACCAUUGUGAUAGUUUUCAAAAUUGAGAUAUCAAAAUGAUGAAUGGGCUUAACUUGGGGUAGCAUUUGAAAAAUUUCCUCUUUAACUAAGUAUGAUUCCCUCUGCAAAUUUUAAACAAGUUUUUUCAAUUAAAAGAAAGUAAUUUUGGCCAGUUUUGGGUUAAACCCUAGCUAUUUUACUGCGCCCUAUGUCUUUCUUUGCUAUAGAAGAAGAAUUUCUGACUGCUUGUGAAGUACUGUGUGGGAGGCUUUACUGCUUCGUCGUUCCACUAUCUUUGCUGUUGUUUAUUCAUUGAUCCCAGAGGAGAGAGAGAGAAGCGAAACAAUUUACCCUAAAUAAAAAUUGAGAUGGGUGAGUCAUUCACAAGCAAAGACUUUCACAAUAAAGACCUAUGAAUUUUUAAAUGAAUGCCUAAAUGAUUGUACUGAGAAUUUGAGUAAUCAAGUAAAAUAUAUGAAUUUUAAAAUAUAUAGAGGAAUGAUUAGAGGUGGACGUCCGCAACGGAAAAAAAGUGCGGAUGCCACCUCAAGGAGCCUCACUCCGGCGUCGAUGGAAGUUUUGAUUCCGUCCUUAGAGACCUCAAACAUCCCAGACGUCAUUACCUUCAAGGUGAAGGCCACGGUGACCUAGAUCACAGGUACAGUAGGGAAGUUUCCCGGAAAACUUCAAGCACUUCAAUCUUGACUUCAAACUCGUCGUCGGCGAGCCCACUGGCAAGAAGAAGGUAAGGAUGGAGGUAUGAGCAGCACCAACAAGACCGCUAAAGCCAUCAAUGCCGACGUGAGGCUCCUUUGACGUCCGCACUUUUUCUUCGUCUCAAACGUCCCCCUAUGAUCGUUCCUCAUACAUAUAUAUAUAGAGGAUCAGAAGCGGACGUCCGCACUCGGCUUAAAGUGCAGGCGACUGUCCGUUCUCCACCCUUCGGCGCCGGUGACGGCGCGUCUCCACCCCAUAAGACUCCAGCAGUGUCCCCGACCACUCUCCCUCCCCGACGAGUCCGUUUUUUUUCAGUUUUCCGGUAAGAUCGACUUUGUUUAAAGUUUUGGGUGAUCUCGCCGGAAAAUUGGAAAAGAACGGACUCACCGGGGAGGGAAAGUGGUUGGGGACGCUGCUGGAGUCUUCUAGGGUGGAGGCGCGCCGUCGCCGGCGCCGGAGGGUGGAGAACGGACUGACGUCCGCACUUUAAGGCCGGUGCGGACGUCCGCUCCUGAUCCGGCCUGUAUAUAUAUAUAUAUAUAUAUAUAUUAAACAACUAUAAAGUCUACAAUAAACAUUCAUCCAACCGUUUUUUUUAACUCUUUACUUGUUAAAGGUCGAUGCGAGGAUGUGACACCCCUACUUGCUCCAUUUGAGUUUCCAUUUUUACCUAAGAUGGUACGUUAUUCCCCAUCAGAAUGUGGUUUUGCUCGUGUCUCCACCAAAAAAGAGGAAGGUAGGUCGUCUUGUGGGUUCAAAAACUUAAGGAUGUUAGGCCUUGAAAGCUUGGAGUUGUGAGCAAAGGUCCAAAGUAAGCAAAGAUGAGCUUUUGUAUUCAGAGGAAGUUGUCUUUGACUGAGGGAGAGGGUUGGUUCAAGGGUGGAACGCUGUUGCAAGAGGUUUCGGGUUCUGUUGAUGGCCUUCAUGCAGAGGAGCCCGGUCAUGAGUAGUUUGAUCGUAACUCUUCUAAUAAGUUGGAUGAUUCCGACAGUUACUAGUUAGAAUCGGGAUCCUUUCAUAAUAGAUGUCUUCCUAACAUUUCCUAAUAAGACGAUCUUGACCGUUCAUGCUUAAUCAAUGGACAAGAUCUGUUCAACAUAACUAAAACCCCAUUUUCUCAUGUAUAUUCCAUCUCACACUCUCUCUAGAUCUAUCUCUCGUCCUUCUUUCUCUUUCUCUUUCCUAAAACGUCAAGAGCUAGACCUGCGCCGUGACGUCCUCCAACGAAAGUGGACAACUCUGAGAAGAAAGUUUAUGAAAAUAGGCACGAGUCCGCGCAACAGACUCCGAUGAAAGAAGAAGAACGAUGACCUUGCUUUGAUUGAGUGGGCGACUUUGGCAUCUCAUGGUCGUGGAGACGGUGCAACUUUCAUGACCGACGGCUUAAAGAGAGAUCCACAAUACUUAAUUAAAUUUCAAAAUCCUAAAAAUUAAAUCAUGCUUUCAACUUUUGGGCACCUUUUUGUUUAAGUCCAAAUCGUAAAAUUUAGGCCAAAUUUGAAGGUCCUACCCAAAUUUUGAACUUGGGUUUGCUCAGCUUACAAGCAAAGCAGAAAAACACUAUUAACUUUUUGACCUUUGCACCAAUAAUUUAAGAAAAAUCCUCUCGAUUUAAUUUUCGGGUUUUGUUCUUGCAACCAAUCAAUGAACAAUGAACAUAAAUGAAAAGUUGAAAACAAACAUAGAAACAAAAAUUUAACGCCUGAGGACGGGCCGAGGAAGACGNNNNNNNNNNNNNNNNNNNNNNNNNNNNNNNNNNNNNNNNNNNNNNNNNNNNNNNNNNNNNNNNNNNNNNNNNNNNNNNNNNNNNNNNNNNNNNNNNNNNNNNNNNNNNNNNNNNNNNNNNNNNNNNNNNNNNNNNNNNNNNNNNNNNNNNNNNNNNNNNNNNNNNNNNNNNNNNNNNNNNNNNNNNNNNNNNNNNNNNNNNNNNNNNNNNNNNNNNNNNNNNNNNNNNNNNNNNNNNNNNNNNNNNNNNNNNNNNNNNNNNNNNNNNNNNNNNNNNNNNNNNNNNNNNNNNNNNNNNNNNNNNNNNNNNNNNNNNNNNNNNNNNNNNNNNNNNNNNNNNNNNNNNNNNNNNNNNNNNNNNNNNNNNNNNNNNNNNNNNNNNNNNNNNNNNNNNNNNNNNNNNNNNNNNNNNNNNNNNNNNNNNNNNNNNNNNNNNNNNNNNNNNNNNNNNNNNNNNNNNNNNNNNNNNNNNNNNNNNNNNNNNNNNNNNNNNNNNNNNNNNNNNNNNNNNNNNNNNNNNNNNNNNNNNNNNNNNNNNNNNNNNNNNNNNNNNNNNNNNNNNNNNNNNNNNNNNNNNNNNNNNNNNNNNNNNNNNNNNNNNNNNNNNNNNNNNNNNNNNNNNNNNNNNNNNNNNNNNNNNNNNNNNNNNNNNNNNNNNNNNNNNNNNNNNNNNNNNNNNNNNNNNNNNNNNNNNNNNNNNNNNNNNNNNNNNNNNNNNNNNNNNNNNNNNNNNNNNNNNNNNNNNNNNNNNNNNNNNNNNNNNNNNNNNNNNNNNNNNNNNNNNNNNNNNNNNNNNNNNNNNNNNNNNNNNNNNNNNNNNNNNNNNNNNNNNNNNNNNNNNNNNNNNNNNNNNNNNNNNNNNNNNNNNNNNNNNNNNNNNNNGAGAGAGAGAGAGAAGGAGGGGGGGGAAUACAUGAGAAAAUAGUUUAAGUCAUGUUGAAGAAAUCUCUUAUCCGUUGAUUAAAAAUGGACGGUCAAGAUCGUCUUAUUAGAAAAUAUUAGGAAGAAUUCUAUAAGGAGAAGAUCCCGGUUCUACCAGUUUUGAUCAAUGUACCAAUUUUAGGGUUAGCAACAUUAAGAUGGCUUGAGUUGGUUUUUGCUUGAGUUUCAUAGGNNNNNNNNNNNNNNNNNNNNNNNNNNNNNNNNNNNNNNNNNNNNNNNNNNNNNNNNNNNNNNNNNNNNNNNNNNNNNNNNNNNNNNNNNNNNNNNNNNNNNNNNNNNNNNNNNNNNNNNNNNNNNNNNNNNNNNNNNNNNNNNNNNNNNNNNNNNNNNNNNNNNNNNNNNNNNNNNNNNNNNNNNNNNNNNNNNNNNNNNNNNNNNNNNNNNNNNNNNNNNNNNNNNNNNNNNUGUUCGUCGAAAACCUCACAGUAGUAGCUUUUGUAGGCGGUAGUAGUAGCUUUUGUAGCUGGUGGUAGUAGUUUUUGUGUUCGUCGGAAACCUCACAGUAGUAGCUUUUGUAGGCGGUGGUAGUAGCUUUUGUAGCUUGUGGUAGUAGUUUUUGUGGCUGGUGGUAGUAGCUUUUGUGUUCAUCGGAAACCUCAGAGUAGUAUCUUUUGUAGGUGGUGGUAGUAGCUUUUGUAGCUGGUGGUAGUAGCUUUUAUAGUUGGUUUAGUAAUUUUUGUCAUCGUCGGAGGUCGGUCGGAAAUCUCGCCGGAGGUCGGCCGGAAACCUCGUCGGAGGUCGGCCGGAAACCUCCCCGGAGGUCUGCCGGAAACCUCACCGGAGGUCCGCCGGAGACUGUUCCAAAAUGAGUGGUUGUUGACUUUUUAUACUAGUGGCAUUCUUGUAAAUAUAAGGGAGAAAAUCUAAUUUUUUUUGUUGGAUGGCAGUCUGUAAUUAUGUUGAACUUCAAUACUUAAUACAAAACCUUAUUUAGACUUGGGUGGACUUAUGUGGGUAAAAAUGUUGGGGUGGAUCUAUGUGGGAAAAAAUGUCUCAAAAUGGACUUAUAUGUAAUUGGCCCUUUUAUUUUCUAUGUUUUUAAUGUAUUAUUACCUAUAGUUUGUUUGUUAUUCUUUGAUUUAUUUAUUAAUUUUAAGUAAGAUUAAAAUUGUUAAUAUUGAGCUUCCUUUAUUAUAAGGGUAUUUUAGUAAUCAAACUAGUUUUAAUACCAAUUUCAUAAGGUAAGUAAACAAUAUUAAUCGUAAUUAGUUCUAUUAUUAUAGUGAUUCCUUAUAGUAUGUACACAACUGAAUGGAAAUGAAAUAUUCUCAUAUCAAUUACUUCCGUCUCUCAUUCUAGUUGAUAACGAUUCAUGAUAUUUUUAUUCCAAGUUAGUAAAAAUGUCAUAAAAGCCUAAGGAGAGGUGUGGCAAAAAUCAAGGAGUCCAAGAAAGGAAGGUUGCGUCGACGAUUUCAAAUUUAGAAUCCUAAAUCAAUUAGCUAAAUCAAUUAAAGCAUAUCUUUAAGGGACAGUUUAAGUAGGAAUCUUCAUGCAAUAUUCAAGGAGAUCUUCAAUUUAAUCUCAACGAUUGGAUGCGAAAUAUCUUCUAAAAUAUUUGAAUCAAUGGCCAAGGAAAUUCAUAAGAUUACUUGACAUACAAGAACUAUAUAAUUCCUAAACCCUAGUCUAUGACAUGCACUAUAUAAGGAGUGAUAUGCUUCAUCUUUUACACACCUCAAAAUUAGAUUUACACUCAAAUCAAAACCUAGAAUAGAUUUCGCAUACAUCCCCUUUCAUACCAAGUAGUUUUGACAUCUAUAAAAAAGAACAUACAAAGUUGCGCACCAUCAUCCUCCACCAUUACGAAGUUGCAAUAAAUCUAUCAUCUCCACCGCUUUGAAGGCUUAUUGUGUUCGUCAAGACUCAUAAGGUGUAACCAUGAACUCUCUAUGUUAUGUUUUUAGUUUUUGUUUUGGCUAUUUUGGGUACUAGUGUGAAAGCUAGCAUGUUUAGCUUGUUGAUUUUCAUAUACCUUGAAGCAUGUUUUAUCACUUCAAAAUUCUUUAGAAAAUGCAAAUUUUGAUAUCUUAUAUGUUGUUCUUGGAUUGUUGGUUUUGUAGGUAUAACUCAUACUUUAUGUGUUCCAAGUCUUAGGUUGGAAACGAUGAUUUAUCUACUCAUGAUUUGAGCCAAAUUAAGGUUUGCUAGCAUACUAGGCCUUAAGUGAAAAACUUAUAAUUUCUUAGGUAAAGUGUAUACUUGUUAAAGCAUCUCCAACAGUUCUUGUAUCAAUUCUCAAAAAUAAAAGAGGAAAUCACAAAAUCUCUAAGGGCACGUUUACUAAUUAACUUGGAAUGAAAAUUAUCAUGCAUCGAUAUCAACAAUAAUCGGUAUAAGAAUGGAACUAAUUACGAUCGAUAUAUAUUGUUUACUUACCAUAUGAAAUUAGAAUUAAAACUAGUUUGAUUACUAAAAUACCCCUACAAGAAAGGAAACUAGAAUGUUUGCAAUUUUAUUGUUCGUCUUUUCGAAGAUGUAAAUAUUCUGGCACUAAUCUUGGAUUCAGCCGUCUUCUUUGUUGUCGUUGUUGUUGUCUGAUGUGGUAACAAUAAAAUAUAUAUUGUUAGGGUUAGGUAAUUUUGAAAUAUUAUAAUUAUGUGAGGAUAUUUUGGGGAUAAAAAGUUGAUUUCAUAAGCUUGAUUCUGACACCUAACUCCCAUUUUGAGUAUCAGAUUAGGGGUUCAUAAGGAAUCGAUUCCUGAUAAGCAAGUGAGAUCCACACCUAUUCUAAUACCUUGAUAUGUUAAUAAACGCCGGAAUUCACCCAUCCCAGAAUCAAUUUCAUUCCAGGUUAGUAAACAUGUCAUAAGCAAGUGAGAUACACACCUAUUCUAAUACCUUGACAUGUUAGUAAACGCCGGAAUUCACUCAUCCCAAAAUCAAUUCCAUUCCAGGUUAGUAAACAUGUCAUAAAAGAAAAUAAACUCCAACAUCUCUUCUAUUAUAUUAUACAAAAUUAAAUGUUUUUAUGCAUGAUUUAAUGUAUAUAUAAAUAUUAUAUAUUUAUUCAAAUCAUACCUUAAAUUUCAUGUUAAAUGUUUUAAUUUUAUGUCGUUUUUUUUUAGGAGCGAGAAUGAAUUCUAAAAGGCAUAACAAUAAAUUUUAGAGAUUUUUUCAUGGAUGUACAAAUUUUGAGAAUUCUAUAGAUAUAGAGGAUAUGUUUCUCUCUAUCCCACGUUUUGUAUUAUAAAUGAUGUUUUACAUGAGUUGUUGGAGCAAAAAAAUAGUGUUUUUCCUCUAAAAUAUAAAUAAUUCUAGUUUUACAUGAGCUAUGAGAGAUGCUCUUAAGACUAAAGUUUUAGUAACUAUGCCUGAUAUUUUUUUUUCUAAUGGAAUCACACGGUUUCCUCAAAUGAUCCUAGAUACUAUUAUGUGCCAAAAGAUAAUGUCAUAACGCUUCCUCCCUUCUUAGCCAUCAAGAAUAGACUAGGAUAUAUUUCAUCAUCAUUCCCUAAAUCAGUCUCUGGAAUAAUAAAGAUUGAUGUAAAUAUAGAGAAUGUUGUUUUCUCGCUCAUCACAUUCCAUUUCUUAAAGAUUGGAGCAAGAUAACCAAAUAUUUCUCUAAAAUAGAGAAAAUCUAAGAUAUAGAAAAAAUUGUUGGAGUUGCUGUAAAAUUUUGUAUAAAACCACUUAUACUUAUAUAACAUUUAUGCAGUCUAAAAUGUCUCAUUCUCGGGUAUGUCAUGUUCUUGUGGCAGCAUGAUGGCUGAGCUAGGCCUCCUUAUUUGAUACAUUGUCUCAUGUUCUUUUUUUUUGGUUACACUCGUGUUCUUUUUUUUUACUACCUCAUAUUAAGCUCUUUAUCAUUUAUUUAAAUAAUUAAAUCAAAACGUUCGUUCAUGGAGCCGCAAUUGUUCUACUUUUAUCUAAAACCCGAAAGUCUGACGUGUGACCCGUCUAUACAGAUCGCACGACCCAACGCAGGAAUGCUCAGCCCAUUUAACCAAUCCUUUCUAGCAUCCACGUGACUGUCACGUGCGAAAGUCGGUUGGGUUGCCUCAAUUUUCCUUCCCUUUCCAAACAGAGUCGCGCCACUUCUCUCCCCUCAUAACCGUCGUAGAGCCCCAAUACAACUCUCCAUCUUCUUCCCCACACUUUCAAAUCUCCUCCCAAAUUUCCUCAAAAACCCUAAAAUAUCCACCACUCUCCUUCUCCCCACCACCACAUUGCUCCCUUAUCACCAUGGCCUCCGCCGUCAAGCAAGAAAUCACCGACCGCUCCUCCGCCGCGAAAACCGCCAACCCCGCGCCGAUCGACAUCGGCAGCGACAGUGAGAGCAGUAGCAACUCCGUCGAUUCUUCCGACAUCGAAGGCGACCUGGAGACCACUGCCUUCAUCGAGUCCAUCACAUGCAAGUCCAGAACCGAGCGUAAUUCCGACGAAGCUCCGCCGGCGAAGAAACCGAAACGCGGCGGCGAAACCGCGCUAGGGUUUCCGGAACCGGUGGAUGUCACGGCGGCGGUGCCGUUGACGAUGGCGAGGGUCUUGCCGGACUCGACUUGCGUGACGCAGAAAAUUGGCCAAAAUAGUAAUAAUCUGAAUGAGAAUCAAGUCGGUCCUGUUGUAAAAGGUUGCAAGCAGUUCUGGAAAGCUGGGGAUUAUGAAGGUGACAAGGAGAAUGAUAGUAAAUCCGCGUUUUCUUCUGGUAAAUUUUUCUCAGGCUUGCUAUGCACUCCAACUGUUUGAUAAAUUUUCUAGUGAUUAGAUUAUGGUUUUCGAAAUUUUGCGUUUGCAGCUGGCAUGGAUCAUGCGAGAAUUCACCCUAAGUUUCUGCAUUCGAAUGCCACCAGUCACAAAUGGGCGCUUGGAGGUAGGUUAAAUUGUCAGGGAAGUGUUGGAAUGAGGUUUAUGAUACAAUGUGAAUGAGUGAAUGACUGUUGUUGAUAUUUUUCUCUUUGCAGCUUUCGCGGAGCUGUUAGACAAUUCUUUAGAUGAGGUACUGAGCUUCUCUGUUUCAGCUAUGUUUAGGAGACUGGACAGCACAGGAAGCAUGAGGGAGCUUUCCUAGUUGAGGAUGGAGAAUGUUGGGAUGGCUAGAAAUAGGGAGUGUUUGAAGGGGAUAAGUUUCGUAGCUUCUUGCUCAUUUAAUUCAUAUUCUGGGGUAGUUCAUUUUUCGUUACCUGAUGAAUAGCUAGGAUGACGAUUGGUUGUUGUAUGGGAGCCUGUCCUGGCUGCUCCUGUCUUCUAAACAUGGCCUUAAUCGAGUUUGGUCUAUACUACUAGCUAUAUGUUCCUUACUAUUUUUGUUGGCCAGGUCUGCAAUGGAGCCACUUAUGUUAAUAUAGACAUGUUAAUAAAUAAAAAAGAUGGCAAUCUGAUGCUUGUGGUGGAAGGUAUGUGGCUAAAUCUUGUAUCACUUUGUUGUGCUGAACUAGCGGCAAUAGGAUGCCCUUCAUAUACAUUCUUUCAUUGGUAUUAACAGUAGCUUUAUGUAUCACAGAGUGUUGUUGGUUCAGUUUAAUUUGGUACUUAUGGUAUAAUUUGUGUUCUAGGACAUAUGUCCCAUGUCUAUGGUCUUACAUUCCCUCUUGAAUUUUAGAAUUCUUAAAUUCAUUUGCUAUUUCUGAGAAACAUUACUCACUGGGUUCAUAGAAACAUAAUGAUUGGUUUUUGUAUAUACUGCUGACUGCAGAUAAUGGUGGUGGAAUGACUCCUGAAAAAAUGAGACAGUGCAUGUCUCUUGGGUAUUCAGCAAAAAGCAAAAUGGCAAACACAAUUGGUCAAUGUGAGAUGCUAUCUUUUCUGUAUAGUUAGAAAAAUAAGUAGUAUAACAACGAAGAUUGUUUGACUAAUCAUUUCUCUCUUGUUCUCAUAAUUUCCUUUAGAUGGCAAUGGGUUUAAGACUAGUACUAUGAGGCUUGGAGCAGAUGUUAUAGUGUUCUCUCGUUGUCAGGGGAUCAAUGGAACAAGGUUUGUCUUAUGCCUAGUUCGUCUUUAUCAAACCAUCACUUGAAAAAUCUGAAGUUUUGCAUGAUUGUAAGGCCAGUUGCUGAAAUAGUAGAGACUUCGUUCCUGCUUUUUACUUUACGUUCUGCUCCUUUUUUCUAAUUGCCAACAUGAAUAGUAUCCAAUCCAUCCUUUUUUCUUAGCCCAACACAGACCAUUGGAUUGCUAUCUUACACUUUUCUGAGGACUACUGGAAAGGAAGAUAUAGUGGUUCCCAUGGUAAGAAUUAUUUUGGUGAAUAGUGAUAAGAAUUUUUGCUGGCUGGAAUCCUGGACUGCUCUCAAAGUUAGUUUUAACGUUCUCAAUUCAAGGAUUUUCUUGCUAUCAUUUGCUGUGAUUUCUGGAACAGAAGUUGAGAAACAGGACUCCUUUUCUUAUCUAGCCAAUAAUCACUGUAGUUAAGUAGGAAGAGAUGUUCUUGACAGAUAACUUAUCGACAGUAACGUUGGAGAAUGAUAUAAAUUGUUUUCUCGCUUAUGUUUUCGUGUUCUUUUCUCGUAUUGUUUGUCACUUAUUUCUUUCUUUCUUUUUAUCGUAAGAUUGACUAUGAGAAAAGUGGUCGAGGUUGGAACAAGAUGAUGCGGGCUUCUCCAGAUGAUUGGACAAGAAAUUUAGAAACCAUUGUGCAGUGGUCUCCAUAUUCAAGUGAAGAAGAUCUUCUUCAGCAAGUAAUUAAUUAGCUCUCUUCAUUUUGUUUUUGGAUAUAUACUCAGACAUUGUUUUCAUAUGGCUAGUCGCAUUUGACUUGUUCUUAUUGCUGUGACUGCGCAUGAGAGAGAAAUUCAAUUUAGUGUAAUGUUUCUUAUUGAUGUACUAUAUUCAUUUCCAAUGCUUUUUUUUUAUAGGGCUGUCCUGUUCUAUAUUCUAUGACUUGUUAGUUCAUGGAUGAUCCAUUAUUGCUAACAGCUGCAUUUGCUAAUUUUUAAGGGUUGAUAUGCUAAUAUUUAAGGGUUGAUUUCUGGAUCUCUUAAUAUAUAAUUAUUGUUAGAAAUUUAAAAUUGUUGGCAGCUUUAGGCAUAGGUGCAGGAACAUGUAUUAGAAUCUAGUCAGUGAAGCUGUUUUAGUCUCAUUGCUUCCUUUGCUUGCAAUAUCGGCCGAACAUAGAUGCAUUUUUUGUUUUAAUAUAUCAUGUUCCUGUGUCUUGGUUUAUUUCAGGUUACCAUCUUUUUUGGCUAUUAUUUUUUGUAUGAAUACAAGUUGGUCAUGCUGUCUAUAUUAUGACACCUUGUUUUCCUGUGCUUUGUCAAAAUGUAGUUUAAGUUAUUUAGAGGGCAUGGCACACGGAUAGUUAUAUACAACCUUUGGGAGGAUGAUGAAGGACAUCUGGAACUUGAUUUUGAUACAGAUCCCCAUGUGCGUUUGACUCUUUUCACUUUUCUGCUGCAUUAUGUAAAUUCAAAAGGGGCACCGCGUUUCAGAUAUGAAGUCUUACUUUUCAUGUUUGAAAUCACAGGACAUUCAAAUUAGAGGAGUCAACAGGGAUGAGAAGAGCAUUCAGAUGUCUAGAAAAUAUCCCAAUUCUAGACAUUUCUUAACUUAUCGACAUUCAUUGAGGGUACGUGUGGAGUAUACAUUCAACUGGCAUUGAAUCUUAUCAUUCACUGCUACAUAAACUGUAAUUUUGAAGAAGACAGAACACAACUAAUAAUCAUGGUAUCUAAUUCGGUUUUCCAGAGUUAUGCAUCGAUCCUCUAUCUCAGGCUUCCAUCUCAGUUUAGAAUGAUUCUGCGCGGGGAAGAUAUUGAACAUCACAAUAUAGUGAAUGACAUGAUGAUGACGAGGGUGGUGACAUACAAACCUGUAAAUCUCCCAGAGGGAAUGCCAAAAGAUUCAAACGUAAUUUCUUCAAGACUUAAUCUGCAUUAAGAUUAUUGUCUUGAACUUAUCAAAGUACUGAUAAUUAUAUUCUUUCUACAGAUGGUUGCCAAAGUGACUCUUGGGUUUGUGAAGGAUGCACGCUCUCAUAUUGAUAUCCAAGGGUUCAAUGUUUAUCAUAAAAACAGACUGAUUAAGGUAGUUAUUGGUUUUCUUCUUUAUAGACGUGGUAACUUUUUCAUGUUCAAAUCCAGAGCAUGGUUGAGAAAAUACGAUCUUGGUGUUAGGAGUUCUGGCUCAUAUUCUAGGUUGUCAUACUGGAUUCUUCCUGACAAUGGAACAGUUAGAAUGUCCAAUAUGAUUUCCUUGUUUGGUCAUUGUAGACUCAAAUCUUAAGUCAUUAACCAAACAUCUGUAAUUAAUAUUCGUAUUUUUCAUUUUGCCAGCCUUUUUGGCGUGUUUGGAAUGCUGCGGGCAGUGAUGGUCGUGGAGUCAUAGGUAUUUUAUGAUAGUUUCCAAACUGAUUAAUGUUUGAAUCCAAUAUAGUCUUGUUUUUGCCUGCAGUGGCUAAUUGAUGUUACUUCAUUCUUAUCACUCGUUUUGUAACAGGUGUGUUGGAAGCUAAUUUUGUUGAACCAGCUCAUGACAAACAGGGCUUUGAGAGGACAAAUGUUCUUCAAAGACUUGAGCAACGAUUGAUUGGAAUGCAAAAGGACUUCUGGUUUGUUAUUUUCCCUCUCCAUGUCAUUUAGUAUCUUGAGGAGUUGAGGUUGUGUCUUUGAUUUACAUGAAACUUUUAACUCAGGUCUAAGAAUUGCCAGAGUGUUGGCUAUGCUCCAAGAAGGCGUACUAGUGACUUUUCGGAAAGAGAUUCUCCAGUAUCUGAUAAAGAGAAAUCACCCACGAAUCAGAAUGGUCAUGGUGGGUUUAAGAUAAAAACAAGUAAAAAACUCGAAAAAGGAUCAUCACCUGUGACUACUUCAAGUGAAGAUGGCAACUGUAAUGAGGCAUUGCAUUCUUCCAUUAAACCUCAGCCAGAUCAUACGUCAGACACAAGGGAGGGUCACACACCUUUGAAAGUAUGUCUGCCCAUUACUUCUCAAAUAUGGUUAUUUGCUGCUUUCGAUUUUAUCGCCGUUUAUAGAUGUACAUAUGACAAUGAAUUUCCUUGGAUCUACUGAUUGUUAGCACAAUCUGGUUUUGUCCUUUAACCGUAAGAUUUCUAUAUCAACUUCUAAGUGUUAAGAUAUAGUUUGUAACCUGCUCUUAGCAGACAUCUAAAUAACCAAAGGACUCGUAUGCUUGUAACGAACAUAGAAAUGGCUCGGGCAGUGUUUGUGUAUUCCUCCUGUAUGCUUAUAUUUCCUUCCCAUUAACAGAUAGCUGAUACAAAUGGAGGACAAGUCAUAAUGGACAACAUAACUGGGCAUACUGAGCGUUCGAUUAUGUUGAGAACAGAUUCAUCAAUUGUGGGAAGGUGCUGUCAGAAGUUCUGUGAAAUUGAACUCUCUUAUCCUGUUUGCAGUUUGUUUGUGCCAAAUGGUGAAUGACAAUUUGGUUGUGUAAUAAAUUCCCCUGAUUUCAAAUCUCUUUUUUUGUUUUUUCAGAUUGGAGGAGGCCAGUCAUGAAAGAAAUAGGUGUAUAUCUCUUAAAACUGAAGUAAGUGCAUAUUUAGGUGGUUUUGUUGAGUUGGUUGUGAAGACUUGUUUUGAAAUUAAAAUAUCGCUUCUUAAUUAGUUAUUAUCUAAAAUUUGGUCCAUUAUAUACUUCAGAUGAAUGCUACGGGACCAAGAUCCACCCGUUGCAAUGCAGGCUGUACAUCCAUGCUAUUGCUAGACUGUACUUUUAUUUGCUGCUUAGUUGAAGUGAACAUUUAUUUUACAGCUGAUGCGGGGAUGGCUUUGGUAGUUAAUGCUUGCCCGUUACUGCAAAUCAGUCAACUUCAUAGAAUUAAGCACUUAUUAGUAGAAAUCAAAACUUGAUAGGUUACUAGUACUUAUCAUUAGAUGGAAUGGAGUUACUAGUAGAAAUCAAAACUUGAUAGGUUACUAGUACUUAUCAUUAGAUGGAAUGGAGGAUUGGACAAUAGUUUUCUUUGAAGUUUGGUUGCAGUUAGUAUUUUGACUUCUAAAUUUUACUAAUGUGUUUUCUUUUUCUUUUGAAUCAGCUUGAGAAGGCAAACGAAAGAAUAGCAGAGUUGGAGAAAGAGCAAGACGCACUAAUUCAGAUACUAGUGGAAGAAAAGACUGAAAGAGAACAGGAGGAAGAACGACUCAGGAAAAGACUAACGGUAAGGACUUACCGUUAAAGUCCAACCAAUAAUCUAGCAUCACAAAUUGUGCAUUCUAUAAGAUAUUCUAUUUCUUUUCUGGUUGCAGGAUGCUUCUAAAACCAUUGAUGAGCUGCUUGAGAAGGUAAGACAGUUAGAAGGAAGGACGACACAGACAUGCAAAGUUGAAAAAGAAUGAAAAUCUAACAGAAAUGAGUUCUAGGCUUCAACUAUACAAGAGGCUUAUUUGUACAGACAGUAGAAAGGUUCUGAUGACUAGAAACCGAGCAUUGCAGAAUAUGUGCAGUUAGAAAGUUAGAAAUGGAAGUAGCAGCACCUCGUAUAUAUCAUUUUUUUUUCCAGCCUGGUAUGGUAUUUUGAAGUUGUCAUUUGUCAACGGUUGGCAGAGGACUAAAUUGUAUGGCUGGAUUAGAGUAAACUAACAACUCAUUUCUUUCACCUCUUUAAAACAGUAGGAGAUACAGUCAACCCUUUUGUGGUUUAAUUUUGUUGAUUAAACCAUGCUAUAUUGCUAUGAGUUAUAACUAAAGCAAUUGAUUAUUUUCUUCUUCUUUUUUUGGCUCAGAAAUGUAUUGCUUGUUAACAAUUUUACCUUUAGUUUCACAAAUAUAUCAUGAUUCUCUAGUCUAUACAAGAAAAGUAUGUUGCAAUUGCUAUAUAUAUGUAUGUAUAUGUUUGAUAUCUCAUACAUAAACAGAAGCUCUCUUUUAUACCCAUGAAUUCAUGAUAAAUAAUAAUGUACUGACAUGGAUUAUUGUACAGACAGUGUACUUAAACUAUGGGUUGUGGUUUUGAGGCCUGUUAGGAGGGGAUGGAGGAAUAUAUGGUAUCCAGGUUCUGGGGUCUCUGAGAUUGAAUCCUGGUGGGGGAGGAGGUGGAGGAAAGACAGAAGGGAUGUAAGGUAUCCAAGUUCUUGGGUCUCCUAAAUUAAAUGGAGGUGGAGUGUUUGGGGCCAAAGGAUUUGGGGAUGGAAAAGGAGGGAGACUUGGGAAUGGGAAUGGCAAAGAUGGAGGGAAUGGAAAAGAUGGAAAUGGGGGCAGAGAUGGUAGAGGUGGAAGAGGAGGGAAUGGGAAUUGAGGAAGAGGAGGAAAAGGGAAUUGAGGCAAAGGAGGCCAAGGGAUUCCAUAGAAUGGUGGAAAGUAUGGGAGAAAAAACUUGGAGGAAUUGAAAGAACUUGCCAAUUCCUCCUCCUUCCUAUUUCCACAUAGGGUAAGAUUCUUCUUUGGUGGCCUGUAACUCAGAGCAUUCAUGCUGUAAAUACAGAUGUUAUCUUGUUUUGACUUGACAGAAAUCUCAUCUGCUGUGGUUCUUAAACCAGGAACAUUGCAACUUUUGGAUGAGCUCCCUAUCAAACUUGCUUGGCACAUUGACUUAAUUGACACACCACUUAAGCAGUUUACCCCAUCAACUGAAGGUAUUUCCAGCUUGUACACCCCAUACUUGUUUGUGGUUUUAUUCACUGAGAAAUUCAUAUCCUCUGAGGCUUUGGUUGAGCUCCCUCUGAACUUGCAUUGUAUCACAACAUCCACACCUGGUAAUAAAAUUGUUUUGUAAAACGUUAUACUACAUUCUUGAAUCUUACAAAUGCGAAAAACUUUCCACUUUGCAAAACAAACUUUCAAAAAGUUGUUGUGCAAAACGUUACCCUUAACUACAUAUUUUGCUACUGGUGACUAUGAAUGAGUUGAGUACCUGGGAGAAAGUAGCUGCUUCUGGAAAAUGUGUUGCUUGAACAAGUAUCACAGUAAACCGCUCCUACGACGGUAAUCCGAGCGGUUGGUGCAGUUGGUUGAUGAGCUACCGAAGCAAUGGGGUGAGUGAGGAAACAUGUAAGAAGAAGAAGAAGAUGGAACAUGACUAUAUGAUCUAUAACCAUGGGAGAGGCACCAAAGAAGCUUCUACCAAAGCAUAUAUGGUUACUCCAUUCUGUGCAUCUAGAGCUAUAUUAUAUAGCUAGAGAGGUUCAUUCAGUCAUUCAUGGCGACUAUGUGCAUUAUAAUGAGCCCGUGAGCUUUUGGUGUUAGGACCCCAACUGUAAACAGGGGUGAAAAUAUGCUUUAUCUAUUCACAAGAAAACAAAGACAUGUGAAGAACUUGUUGCCAGAUUGUCAGGGAAGAGGGACAUGGAGAUGGAGGGACUUUGAUUACAUCUGUAGCGAACUAACAGGUAGUGGUAAUUGAACAAGAGGCUGUGUGCUUUUCUGGAUUGGACAAAAGCUCCAUGGAUUCAAGGACUUGUUGCUUUAAGACAUGGGACUCUUUUGGUUUUGGGACACUGAGGGAUUGGGGACUCCCCUUAUUUGGUCAUGUAUAACCCACUCUAGAUCACUGACAAUGCCCAGCUCUCCACAGCUACUAUACAAAGUGUUUUGGACAGACUGCUUAUCUUAUGUGAUCUUGGCCACAUUAGUUUACAUGCUUUGAAACCCUAACAAGUUUGCACUUUGUAGUGUUCUUAAUAAGUUAAACGCUUAAUCAAAGUUUUGUUCUUAAUAAGUUAAAACGCUUAAUCAAACUUUUGUCUUGUAUUAAGAAGUGGCUACAACAUUAGGUUGUAGUAUUGAUUCUCUGCUCUUGGCUCAACUGUCCUAUUAGUAGUGUGGGAGAACUGUUAAACAAGUGAGAUGCUUAAUAGUUGAUCCUUCUUAUGCGGGCAAUGAAGAUCAUAUUCUCUGUUACUCUACUAGUCUUUGGGGGUUUCAUCGCUGGAAUGUGCAAGGGUUUUGUACCAUAUGUACGUAUGGAUCUUGAACCUGUGCCAGAAUCUAUGAGGCCGUACGCCAUCACAUCUGGGAUUAUGCCCUGUUUCAAUCAUCCUCCAUAAAAUGGUGUAAUAUAUUUCGGAUUGUUAUACAACAGAACGUAAACUACAAUGCAUUAAUCUAUCGAUACAUUAAUCGUCAAACAUUAUGGAGUUUAGGAGUUAUAUCAUUGAUAAAAUGCAUUAUGCCCUAUUUAAAUCAUCCCUAAUAAAACGGUGUGAUGUAUGUUAAAUGUAAUACCCCGGAAAUUUGAUAUUAGUUUAUAAUAUUAUUUGGGAGUUUUCGAGUUAGAAGUUAGUGGGUUUUUGAGGUUCGAAGGAAGAGUGGAAGUGUUUGGACGCUUAAAUUUCCCGAAACGGUUUUUAUUUUCUUUAAACGUCAUAGAGUUGACUUUUUAUUCGUUACGUUUCUCGAGAAACUUCCUUCACGAAAGUUGUAGAGCAUGGCGAUACGAGUUCGUAGACAUGCAGCACACGUAAAACGGACUUCGUAUGAAGAAGUUAUGGUCAGCGGAAGUAUUUUGGUUUUUGGGAUUUUUAGUAUAAUAAGAAAAGUUGGGGGUUUUUAUUUUUGGAACCCUAAAUUGCACAAAGCCCCCAGUUCAGUUUCUCUCUCUUCUCUCCCGAGCUCCCCCGCACUCCCUCUCUUCUCCGAUACGUUUCUCCACCGUCCGGCCACCGUUUUGGCCGCCAUCGGUGGCUGUAAGAUCGCACGGCCACCCUCUCUCCGCCUGUGGUGGUGCGACGCCGUGUUUCAAGCCGGAGAUGAAGCCUUCAGCCGGAGGAGAACGCUGCCGAGUUGCUCACCGGAGUUCGGGCUUUGCUGGUGAACCCAGACCUUAUGAGUGCUUCAUUUCCUUGAAGUCUCUUCCCUCUAAGCACGAUUUGAGCUGCCGUUCACCUCGUUUUGAGGUCAGAAUCGGAUUGAAGUCUUCUUGGGAGCCAGUUUUCUUUUGGACGAUUCCAGCCGAUUCCAGCCAAAUGGGUUCAACCUUCAGGUAUAAAAGAUGCUCCUCUUGCUUCAAUCUACUAGUUUGUUGUUAGAAGUUUGUCCAGAUUUUGAAGUUGUUGGGGUGGCGCGUGGCAGCGCGUUCGACAGUUUCCUAGCUCUAGGUUUCAGUGUUAGCUAGCUCUUGUUAUUGUGAGCUUGUUGAGUUGUGGAAAUUUUAGGUUGUGAGCAAGGAUUGCAUGUUAGGACAUUAAGUUUAAGCUUAGGUUUAUGUGAGGUUUGAGUUUAGGUUUUGAGGAUUAGAGGCAACCUUAUUUAGUCGUUAAGUUCAACGACCUUGGAAGGUUGUUCUCAUUUGGGCUAUGGGUUAGUUUAAGGGUGUUUGAUAUCCUAAGUACUUUGGUUACUAAUGUAAUUAAUUGUGUAAUUAUAGGUGACUUGUGAGGUGUGAUUGGCUUGGCUCUUUUGGUUGUGUUUUUGGUGAAGACGCAGCAGGAAUAUAUAGGUGAGUAACAUCUCACCAAGGUUCACUUGGAACCAAUUAUUUAUGGAAUUGUGAUAAUGAUUAUUAUGAUGAUGAUGGUGAUGAUGAUGAGGUUUAUGAUGAUAAAAUGAUGAUGAAUUACGAUGAUGAUUUUUGGUGUUUUUAAUUUAAAAUUUUUAUUUUUGGCUGUUUAAAAUAUAUGAGCUUGAUCGCCAAUGACUCAUAGGUAAGAUAAAACAAGUUUUCUAUAUGAUUAUUUUUAAGGUUCAUGAAAUUAUAAUAUUUUUGGUUCUUGAUAGGUUAUUCUUGUGGGAAUAACUAUGUCUUAUGCAUAAAAAUAUAUCUAUGUGGAAUGAUAUAAUUUGAUGAUGUGCUAUUGGGUUGUUGAUGUUGAUUUUAUUACAUUGUGGUUUGUGGUUUAGAUAGUCAAACCGGGUUCCAAGCCUCGGGUGAUUGGUUACUGUUAUAUAUGAUGAUUCUACUCUAUUGUGAUUUGUUGUUUAAACAGUCAAACCGGGUUCCAAGCCUUUAAUCGGGUGAUUGGUUACGGUUAUGAUGUUAUUAUUAUUUUGUGAUUUUAUAUUGGACAGUCAAAUUGGGUUCCAAGCCUUUGGCCGGGUGAUUGGUUACGGUCAAAAAUAGAGCUCUAGUCCGUCUGUCGGUGUAGAUCAUGGGAGGUACCUUAAAGUAUCUAGGACCCAUAGAUACAUAAAUUGCUGUUGUAGGUCAUGAGAGGUAUUUAUUAAUAUCUGGAACUCAUGGGUACAUGUGUUUGUUGUAGGUCAUAGGAGAUACCUUAUUGGUAUCUGGGACUCAUGGGUACAUGUAUAUUGUAAAAGUAUUGGUUAUGUGAUUUUAACUUUGUUCUUAAUUGUUGUCAUUUAACUUCCUUGUUUUGAGUAUCUCCUGAACUAUGUUUAAUGCAGGAGAUUCUUCAAUUCUUAUUUGUGUGAUUUUUAGUGGAAUUCCUGAACUAUCAUUUUUGCAUAAUUCACUUAUGAUUGAUUAUUUUGUGAAUUGUUAUGUUUUCUUAUUUACUCUCUUUUGAAUUUUAUUGUUUGAGGCAAUUCCUGAACUAAGUUCUAAGCAGGAAUUUCUGGAUAUAUUUUGUGUGAUGUUGGGUUGAGUUAUUUUUUAGAGUUACUCAUACGGGCUUUUUAGCUUACCAGGUUUGUUGUUUACAACCCGGUGCACCAAUUUUUGGUAUAGGAGUUAGACCUGCAGGUGAUGAUCAGCAGAGUUGAGGCGGUGACUUAGGAGCUGGGUUUUAGACAAUGUACAAUUAUUUGUAUAUUUUGAUAAAUUGACUUUAAGCUCAUGUGAGCGACGUUAUUAUUACUAGACUUUUGAAGUUGAUGUAAUUAAAGAGAUAUAAUGUUUAACUCAGUUGUUGAGUUUGUUGACAUUUACAUUUCCAGUAUUUGUUUAUAGUUUGGAAGUUGUUGAGCAGGUUUUGGGAUAAUAAGAUUCUAAGAUAUAUCAUGCCCAAAUUUUUAAAAGUUUAUCCUUCGAAAAUUGGGGUGUGACAUUACACAACCCAAACUAUAAUGCACUAAUCUAUUGAUACACUAACAUCAUGGAGUUACAGAGUUACCUAUUGUCUAUUGUUACCGAAGUUAAUAUUGUUUGGGCCUGUUGGUGUUUCUGCCUUUUCCUUGUUUUGUUGGGUAUUUCAUCUUAGGCCUCCGGGCUUUUGUACUUUCUAGUUUCUACCUCAUCAUCUAUUAAUUGACCACUUACUUGUCAUAUAGUUAACGAUUAGUAAUUAAUUUCAUUUCAACAUUCUACAAGUUUGGUCUUAUUCUUUUAUUUGUGCUCCUACCAGUAAGAUUCAAUAUACUAAUAUGAUGGGAGUCCUUUUAGUGGGACUCUUAAGUUUAGGACUUUUCGGUUUAUGGUUUAAAAGACAUAUUUUUCGAUCUCAUAUUGGCAUCUCAUCCGUUCAGUUUUUAGGUUUAUAUGUGUAAAUCAGCUUUACAAAUUUUCAAUCAAAUCGGUGAUCGUUAAGGUAACAAACUAGAUCAAAUUAAUGAACAAACCAAAUCUGUCAAACAUGAACCGUUCAAGUUCAUAAUUGGUAAAUCACACUUAUGAAUGUCUUAACGAUUUCUAAUAUGGCUGAAAAUUUACAUAAAUGAUCUACUCAUAAAUACCUAUAAACUGAACGACCAAAAUGAUGUGGAUAUAAGAUUGAAAAGUGGGAUAAGCCAAAAAGUCCUCAACUUAAGGGUCCUCAUUAGAAAGGCUUCCUUAGAAUUACUUAGUUAAUAUGGAAUUCCAGGAAUAGACUCAUCUUUCAGAAUAUCCCUGCCAUUGCAAAUCAAAGUUAUUAUCAUGUUAUUUAUUUUGCUCGUAGCUAUUCUAUGGUGAAUAAUUCUACUCCUCAUAUCUUCUCUUUUAGUCAUACACUAUCUAAUGGCAUCCUCUAGAUUCCGACUGUAUCAAAGUUUAUUUUGAUGCAUCUAUUAUUCAACAUCAAACUUCUAUUGGUUUUGUUUUGCGAGAUCAUUAUGGGAAUCCUCAUAUUGCAGCUGCAAAUAAGCUUGGAGAUACAAGUGUUCUUGUUGCUGAAACCACUGCUUUACGUGAAGGUCUACAUACGGCGUUUUUGCAACAAAUUCCGAAAGUUUUUGUAGAAGGCGACUCUAAAAUACUUAUUGAUUGUCUUUUGGGUCGAACUUCUGUUCCAUGGAGCAUCAAGUCUCUUGUUCAGGAUAUCCUUUGGCUAGCGUCGAGAUUUCAAUGUUGCAUCUUUCGUCAUGUACAUCAUGAAGCGAAUUUUGUAAUAGAUCGUCUGGCAUCUCUUGGUCAUUCUGCGUCUUCUCCGUUACUUUGGUUUAACUGUCUCCGCCUAUCUGUGUCCCCAGUGUUCUAUUUGGAUCAACUGGAAAUGAGUGUUUUUAGAGAUUUUGUGUUGUAGUUCUGUUUGUUGCAUGUUUUCACCAUAAAAAAAAAACAAUGGAAUACCUACAAUGAGCGACAUGCAACCCAAUUAAACUAAUUCCCCUCUCAUAAAUGAGAGAAAAUGAAGUUUAAGCUCAUACAUAUAUAGUAGUACGUGUCAUAAUCAAAAGCACUUAGUAUUCCCUUGUUAUAUCUAUACAAAUACUAGGAAUUUUGGUAUUAUAGCAUGCAAAUGAAAAAUGAUGACUCAGAAACAUAACUGGAGCCAAAUUAAACACCGCAAACUAAAGACUGAUUAUUAAAAAGUUAGCAAGAAAGUCAAGAAACAAUACAAAGACACAAAUGGAAAAACCAUUCAAUAAAGAGAUUAGAGUACAAAAAAUUCUCAAGAACUAUCAAACAUAUGAAAUAAUGACCGAUGACCCAAUCAGCAUAGCUCGUUCCUUCUCUUUCUCAAUGAGCCCUUCAUCCCUUAUUUUGCAAAGGUUUCCCAUAUUUGCACUACAAAAACACACCUGAGCAAUCGUUGGAUAGUACCAUUCUUUUGUAAUUCGUUUCCUUUUAUAAGCCUAGUUAUAAUGAAUAGAAAAACGAAUAAGCAUAUCGUACGUACCUCACAUGACAUGGGAAAGAUCGAUUCAAGGAUCAUCUAUGAUCAACAAAACAAAACAAUGAUAGUACAAUUGAACACAACAUAUCUAAAGUCGAUAACAAAUAUGGGAGCGGUUGAUCAUCUUUGAAGCAUAUGGAGAAUAGGAGAUUGUCAAACAGUGACAAGCGUGGCCCGUUGAUUUGUUGAAUGCUGAUUGCCCACGUCCACGUGUGAAUGCGUAACGACCACACAAACUCCACGUCAUCCCAAAUGUUGUCCACGUGUUAGGCUUGAAAAUUCGCCACACGUGUGGGAGCGUGUUGAGAUAUAAAUCCCACAUCGAGAAAAUGGGACCUUACCUGUGGGUUUAUAAGGGUUUGGGCCGCUCCAUCUAUAACCAAUUGGUUUUAGAUGUGAACCUUAGACUACCUUGACAUAGCAUCAGAGCGGGUCCCUCUCCAGUUGCGUCUCCAAUGAGUCCGGGUUUGGUUCUUUUGAGUUUGAGGUUCUUUCGGUUAUCAUGGGGCCCGAAUUCAGUUUGUUAAUCAGUUUCACGUGCAGACUUAAAAGUUAGGUUGCACGUGAGGGGGAGUGUUGGAGAUGAGAGAUCUCAUAUUAGAAAAGUGAUAAAGAAAAUAUAACUCAUAAGUGGGUGGAUCAUUCGUAAUUGUACCGAGGCCUUUUAAGAUUAAAACCCAACACUUUAAAGGUGGUUGAGUUUGGACAAUAUCUGACACGACCCACCCCGAAUUUCACCCUGAAACUCGGAGUAAGUCGUGCAGGGACCACCUCCAAGGAAAAUUUACCGAAAAGAUUGGUGAAACUUCCCUUGGAAAUGGACAACCCUAACCCGAAAAAUUUCCAAUUCACACUCUUACUACAGCACGUCCAAAAAUAUCACACAAUUAUCCAGCUAAUAAAAGCAAACAUUAUCCUUCAGAAAUUCUAAACAUAAAGUCAACCGACCGAGCACACCACCGAAAUAAUAUACAAUAAUCCCAAAAUAUUCAGAGCUACUAGACACUAUCGGAAGCAAGAAAACAUUAGUAGGUUAAACAGGUAACCUACUGAUGAAAACUGGCGGAAAAGCAGGUGACUAUGCCUCGUCUCCUACUAGGACCAACCCGAACUCUGCAGACUAGGCAUUUUAAAACGAAGAGCUCAGGGGAAAACAUGUGGAACAGUUAGAGUGAGUGGACAAAAAUAAAUUAAAUAAAAAUAUUUCUUUAUGCUUCCCCAAUUUAAUUUCCAUAGAAAAUAAUACUGCAUGCAAUCGCUCAAAAGCGCUCAACUCAAAAACUGGCAAUUUCACGACCAGCACCGGCUAGUCUCCAAAACUUAAUAAAAUACAGCCUCUUAGGCUAAAUUAUAUAUAAACAUAUAUAAGUGUAUGUAUUUACACUCGUCAGACUCCUUGUAUGAAUUCUAAGAACAAAUUAGAAAAAAAUAGAAAUUCAUACAAGGCUACUACGCUUGCGUCUAACGCUCACGUCACACCAUAAUGGAAUUGUACCUCAGUAUGGCGGAAAAAGCACGAGUGUAUAUACGUGUCGACUCCCUAUAUGAAAACCUAAAUAAACCAAAUAAGAAAAUAGUUUUAAUAUAGGGCUACUACGCUUGUGUCUAACACUCACGUCACGUCAUAAUGGUAUUUUACCUCAUUAUGACGGAUCAAACACGUAUGGCUAGCUAGCAUUUAUAUAUACAUACUAUCCUCAUAAACAUCCAAUAAACAUAUCCACCGAAAAUCUCAUUUUCGGGAUCUCUCCAAAGGAGGAAAAUUGCCAAAUAUCUAAGAAAUCAGAAAGUCUCAUCAGGAGAAAAAUAAAUAAUCAACAAAUUAUUUCAUCGCAUGCUUUUCAAUUAAAACAAAUGUCCACUCACAAAUUAAGCCUAAGCCUGAUGACGCUCCGAGGCUUCCUCUGCUCGGGCCUUCUCUCGUCCUGUUCCAAAUAUAUAAUUAAUUUCCCACUAAAAAUCCAAUAAUUAAACAAAAUGGGCAAAAUUAAACGUGAGCCUCCCACACACUCAUCAUUGCCCAAAUUCGUCAUUCUUAACUCAAUACGGCUCAAACUUUACCGAACAUACCGGCAGCCUUAAAAACAACUUCCCACAGAAUACGACUUAAAUCCUACGGCCGGAUUCUACAUUAAUUAACCGCCAAAAAUACCAAACUUCGGAAAUUCACAAACCUAUCCAAAACUCAUCCAAAAAUUCCAUAACUCACUUCAAUAAACUCCCCUUAAUAUUCCAAAUUUAAAAACAUAAAAAUCUCUCAACCGGCGGCGGCCGGAGGCCGAUUCCGGCGACCUCCAAUGCCUAUGAAAUUUUGACAGAAUAAUCUCCUCAUCAUGCUCUACAACUUUCCUAACUAGCACAAACCCAAAAUCCAACCCUAGCUAUACCAAUCGAACAAAAACAUCAAAAACGCCCUAGAGCUUCCGCCUCAAAUUUCUCCUUACCUGAAGCAAACCGGAGUGAGUCCUUUUAGGGCAAGGUAGCUAGGUUGGAGACCUACAAAACCGUACCAAGCUUGCCCAGAUUGGUGGCCGGAGGAGGGAGUUCCGGUGAAAAGCUUCCCGACGUCUCCGGCGAGUUUUCUCCUCUUCCGGCGGGCUAACGGCUCGGGGGCUAGGCUGGGGAGGGAGAGGAGGUGAUGGGGGUCCGAACUGGGGUGGAGUGGUGGCUGACCGGACGGCGGCAGCUGGGGCUGGAGAAGAACCGGAAACGGGAGAAGUCAAGAGAGGGAAAAACCGGGGAAAAGAAAAGAGAAGAAGAAGAGAGAAAAAAAGAGAGGGCUGGGCUUUGACCACCCCUCGGCCCGGUCCACACUCUUAUACAACCCAAAUCCAAAAUAAAACACCCCGAAAAAUAAUACCCGAAUAAAAAUUACCUUUUACUAGCUAAAAUUUACCAUUUUUACCGUCGUCGUAUUUUCCUCCUACGAAUAAUCCUCCGCACAUAAUCGUCCAUGAAACCCUUCUAGGGACCAAUUAAACUAUUACCUCAAUGACGGAGACGGUAAAAUUCUUAUUAUAAUCAAGCUAGUAAAUAAGGUAAAAAUAUAAGGGUCGGGAUGUGACAGUAUCGGUACACAGAUGAUCCACGGGACAUGCUUGUCACUGUUUGACAGAGAUUUCAUAGCAAAGAGGAGAACGUAUUUUGCACAGUUUUAUAGAUUUAGAAGAUACCGCAAAGAAACUGAAUUUGAGUGAGAAUUAACAACUCCUCUUCUCUCCUUAAAAUUUGGUUGUCGGUUGUAGGUAUUUGGAUUUGUAUUCUCGACAAAUUGAGAGAUUUUUAGAUUUGGAGUUUGUCUAUUUUAUCCUUCACUUAUUAAAUUGUGUUUGGUGCAUGAUUUUUUAUGCAGGGGUAUUUUUAAGGUUUUUGAAAGUUUAACUAUGAGCAGUUCCAUAAGCUAAAUUUACUUAAUUAAUAGAGAUUGUUCAUUCCACCACGAUAAAUGGAUAAAUCAAAGAGAUCUAUACCAAAACAUAGAGAAGUUUGUCCUCAUCACUAGAGGAAAUGAUAAUUAAUAAUAUCUUGAGGGGCGUCGGAGGCGUGAAGCGUGACCAGACUUCAUAACAACAUGUUGGGGAAAACUUUCACUCUUGUAGAACUCUAUGUUAGAGAAUAAAACUUACAUCUCAAAAAUGCCUUAAAGCUUUAGACUCAAGAUUUUCACAUUCUACAAGAUAAAACAUUACAAAAGAAAUUACACAACGCACACACAACCACAUUGACAUCAUCAACACGCACCUCAUUUUGGGAGCUACACUAUUCAAUAAGCCUUUUCUCACGUGAUUAAUUUCUCCACUGCGUAUUGGAUCUGUUCAACAGAAGAAGGCACUAACCUGUCUAACCACAAUACUAUUUGGCAUCUAUUGUCUACGCAGGCCAUGAGUCCCAGUAACCAACUACUAUGAUAAAAGUUUUCCCACUCUCAAUAACGUGACGAUAAGUGAUUGGCUCUAGAGGUAUAUAUAUAGCAUACGAGAAUAACCCCACAUCAUACUGUUCCCAAAUUCCCAUCAUCAUCACCAUAUCAUCAUAUCUCUGAGCUUUCGAGCUGUACAGUGCAGCUGCAGAACCAACAACCCCACUACUCCCGGACAAGACUCUUCCUUAACACCGGAGUUACUGCUCUACCCUCACAGUACUCGACAGCAUGCUAUUUCGUUGUGAUUAUGGUUCAUUUGAAUUGGUUUGCACAAAACGAAAACAAGAUUAUAUAACAUAAAAUUAAGAUAAUUUCCAUUAAUGUAUUUCAACUACAUCACGAAGAUUCGAUGACCUCAUAACCUCCUUCUACUUUUUUUUUUGACAUGUAAAUAAAGUGAUCAUGAUCAGAGCCAAAGUGCCCCAGCCUCCUUGAGAAGUGGCACCAGGGACCCAUUGAUAUGGGAAGCCAUAACCCGGUCCAUGGCACCUAUCAACUUCCCGCCGAUGAACACCACCGGAACCGCCGAUGAGUUUCCGAGCAACCUCAUGAGAGCCCUCUCAAUCUCCUUUCCUCUCGGGUCUUGAUCAAGCUCGUACACCGUCGGAUUCACCCCCAUUCCGCAGAAGAGCCUCUUCACGGCGUGGCACAUGCAACAGCUGCUCAAACUGAAUAUAACCACAGCGCUCUUCGACGCCAGCCUCGCCACUCGCUCUAGAGGAUCCGCCGUGUGCAUGCUCCUCAUCGGCAUGUAGUACCCCCAUGACUCUGCUUGGUAAUGCUCCGUUUGGUAUUGCAUUUUUGCUUACAGCUCAAAAGUUAACAAAACUCAAAGGAAUGAAAAGAAGAAGAAAGGAAUGAGAAGAAGAAGAUGUAGCUGAAGAAGAUGAAGUACAAGAAGAUGAUGCUUUGUAGUGAAAGAAGCAAGUAUGGGUAGGGUUUAUAUAGGGAACGAGUGAGGGUAAUAUGGUAAAAGUGGAGGGUGUCUAGGGUUUUGUAACUUUGUCCUUUGCUGUCGCAGCGCAUGCUUAGGAUUUUCACUGGAAAAAGGAUUCUUGUCUGUACAACGACGUACAAGGUUGUACACGUAGACAGAAUAUACAGGGCACAAUGGAAACUAAAGCUUCAAGUACUGGCGGAAGCGGCGCGUGUCAGGUGUGUAAGGCGGCGAGUGGUGUAUUUGUCGACGGUAGAAAUCUCUGCUUUUCAGGUUUGAGACAUUGGUUACAGGCUUUGGCAGGAGGCAGAGAGAUUAGACGGCUGGGUUGGUCCUCGUUGUCGGGUCCGGGCGUUCCGGGUGGGUCCGAAAGGGCAGAGCUCCUUUUGCUUCUGACGUGACCAUUACGCGCAUGUCUCUGUGGUCAUCAGUGCUUUUCUUCAUAUCGAUUGGAGAAGAUGAUGUUGACCAACAAAAUAAAUGAAAUAAGUAUUCGCAGAGAGGAAGAACAUGAUGAUGAUCAACGGUUAUUAUUUUUCGGAUUUGUCAGUUUGACCUCUUCUCGGCCCCGACUCUUAUCCCGUGGAAAAGGAAGAAGCAACAGCAUGCAUGCAAAUCCUAAUGCUUGUCGAUCUAGAAGAACAUGGGAUUUGAUUAAACAAGAUUUUGAGAAGAGUUACCAGAAUGUGGGAUUUGAUUAAACGCAUUCUAGCUCAGGGGUCUCACUAGAGUUGACACAAGAAAAUGGUUAGGACGGUUGAUAUUCAAUUUAGGCUCGUUCAGAGAUUCAUUAAUAUAUGAAACAUGAUUUAAGUUUAGUAUAAUGUUAAAGUUAAUUCAUCAACUUGAGCUAUGAGGAUGUCAAUCAUUUAGAGUUUCUUCCAACUCUCUCAAAUUCUUGUCUAAACUAUUAUAAAAUAAGCAUCGGAUGUUCUUAAACGGGUACCGCCUUUAUGUUUUGUUUAACAUUUACACGAAAUUAGGUGAAAGCAAUUUAGUAAAAAUUGUAUAACAAGACCACGAAAUUUCGUUAAAAAGUAUGUGUUUACUUAAUUUUUGUUCCAUUGUAAACCUCACCGCAAACCUCAUUUUUGUAUUACUAGAGGGCUUACUGGUCGAUAUUGUGGCAUUUGAAUUAGUCACUCAACUCCAAAGCUUGAUGUUGAUGAACCGUAGUUGCUAUUUCAAUUGGAACAUAACCAAACGAAACAUCGAAAUCGCUCGCUAUUGAAGUAUACAACGUGCAAUAGACUGGUGAUGUUACUUUCAGAAAACACGGGUUCUUUACACCCUGAAGCGGAGCAAAGAAGAACUGAAAUGGUAGGAACAAGACCAAGAAAGGAGCAUAGGAUGUANNNNNNNNNNNNNNNNNNNNUUUUUUUUUUUUUUAGUAGCAUGUGCGACUACUAAAGCACGGGCAAAGCAGAGAGAGAGAUGAACAAAGUAGUUUAGGCGUGGCCUGCAAUCGUGCGGCGGAUACAGUUUGCUCCGAUCCAACACCAGAUAUCAAGAAACAUAUCGGGAUUCGGGUUAAUUCAACGGGUUUUGGCCGGGGUUAUGUCCGAGUGUCUCACCAUUAACGUACGUACUCUCGCCUCUUCAGUGAUACUGUCCUUUGUGCUUAGGUGAGUUAGGUCUCUUCUCUCACGGUGCUUGUCAAUUCAGCGCAAACGAUUCCCACGCAGUGGUCAUCAUUCCUAAGUAACAUAGUUUGGGAACAACAAGCAGCAUGUUACAUACUUACAUUCCAUUACUCAAAGACUCGGAACUCCUUUUUGUUUAACAGUUUAAUGUCGAAGCCAAAAUUACAAAAUUACUGGCUCGUCAUAAUUAAGUAAUUACAUGUUUGAUUAUGUCUCAAUUGUUAACCAAUAAGCGUGAUAAAUUUACUUCUUCAACUCUAAGACAAUGAGUCUGUGACAUUAGAUCCUAAAUUAAGUACGUUGAUAAUAAGAACUCAAACUUAAAGUUCGAACUACAAAAUACAAUAGCUAGGUAGUGUUGUCCUACAAAGUACACUAGCUAGAAGAACCAUGUGUGUAUAUUCUCUUCCCAUUUUCUUAUUAGUUUCUACCAUCUGAGAUUUAAACUUGAGUGCUUGAGGUAAAAUUUAAUGUAUUUAGAGGCUCUAGUAGAAAUCCUUAAUGCACCAUUUCCAUUAUUCUAGAGAACACGUGUUAAGAAACUCGGAUCUUAACUUAAUUUCUAUUAGGAUCCUUUCUAGAGUGCGGUUAUUGAGACCUCCAAUCCAUUAUUUAGAGGCUCUAGUAGAAAUCCUUAAUGCACCAUUUCCAUUAUUCUAGAGAACACAUGUUAAGAAACUCGGAUCUUAACUUAAUUUCUAUUAGGAUCCUUUCUAGAGUGCGGUUAUUGAGACCUCCAAAUUUGCUCAUUAGACCUCACUAUAUUAUGAAUUAUUAAAUGACAUAUACAUCCUUAUACACAAUGACUAUUAAGGACAAUAAUUAUACAAAAUGAAAUAUUAUAUUUAUUUUCUUUAGACUUUCCAAUUCAAUAAUAAUUGAUUCCAUUCUUUAUGAUUUUCCUUAUAUAUUUUUGUUUCCUAAUUUCUUUUUAUUAAAGCGUAUAUAUAAUUAUAAGAGCUAAAACAAUAAUCAAUAUCGAUCAUAUGACAUAAAAUUUUGUAUUGUCAUACAUGUUGAACACAUAUACUUGCAAGGUGCAUAAAUAUUUUUGUAAAAACAAAAAUUAAUAUCUAUCGAUUAUAGAAAAUAUAUAUUUAUGUGAAAUAAUUUAUUAUGAGGUACAAAAUAGAGAUCAAAUUAUUCAAAAGAAAAAAAUGGAGGAAAAAUAACACGUACAAAAGAGAAACAAUUAAAAAGUUAUAUAUAAUAGUUCAUGAUAGAACAUUUUCUUGCAUGAAAAAAAAUAAUUAAAAAUAAAGGUAGGGAUAAUGGAUGUUGAAAAAAAAAGGAAAAAAAGAAAGAAUAAGAGGUAUAUUGAGUGAAUAAGAGAUAAUUAAUUGAUUGAAAUAUAUGUCAAUAAAUAACUAAGAUUAUGUUAGGAAUUUAAAAUGAGGUAUAGUGAGCAAAUGCUUAUAUUGAAAAGUAAAAAGGGAGAUGUAGAGAGAAUGAGAGGUAUAGUGAGAAAAUUUGGAGGUCCCAAUAGCCACACUUUCCUUUCUAUUAUAACCCAAUUCGAUCAGCUCUCUCUCUUUUUUUUUUUUUUUUUUCUUCGUGACAAAAGUUCAACUCUUUAUAUGUUGUGACUGAAAUCAUCCGCGAGGACAAUUUUCGAUUCAAUUCAUGACUGCACGUAUGACAUGUAUAUAAAAUAUAUUCUUAGAACAAUUUUAGCAAUAUAUGCUGGCCAAUUUUAGCAAUUCUUAUCUUACAUGCCCUCUACGAUCGAGCUACCCCUAGCUCAGAGACAAUAAGCUCACACACUAUAUGCACGUAUACAUACUUCGUUUUGCUCUGAGUGUUGUGCAUGCAUGCAUUCUUAGGAGGUGAUUAUCUGAUUUCUAUACAAGUUAGUAUGAAGAUUAAAGGUCAUGCAUAUUUAUGAACAAUAAACUCAGCGUUUUUUUUUUUCAUGGAGCUAGGAUGGUUAAUUAAUUAUUGCGUUACCGUAUGGUGUACAUACUGGAGGGCUGAAGGCAUAUAUUCAUGAUCAGCACUCUUACUUAUUUGAGUCAUUUCCAACUAUUCAGUGGCCAACUAGUGAUGGACUAUACUCUUGGUGGGGAAGGCUAUGAGAGGCGAUGGCUUCUCAUGCAACGCCGCUGCAAUCCUGAUCAAGUUUUUUCAAAGACUCCAGUUGUCCAUGGUUAUGGCAGCUGAGGGUAGGGGUGGGCAUAAAAAACCUAAAUCCCGGUCUCGUCCUGAUUCUGUCCCGAAAUUUGACGGGAUGGGAUGGGAUAUAAUUCUAAAAACACAAGAUCCGUCCCGUAGAGAAACAAUGGGACGGGACGCGGGACUGAAAAGUUGAGGCCCGUCAGGCCCGUCCCGUUCCGUGUAAAAAUAUAGACUAAUCUAAGUCAUUGGUUUGUUAGAUGUUUUGAUCUCAACCUUACAUUUUUUAACCCUAAUACUAACUCAUCUCACUCUCUGUCUCUCACUCUUUCAGUUUCAUCGCUCUCAAGUCUCAACCCUCCAGCCAAACCUCAAUCGAGCAAAAACCGCCUCGGCCAGUCCUCCACGGCUCCACCUCCUCGACCAGUCCUCCUCCGCUAACCUCACUGCCCACCUCCUCCUCACCUCGGCGCCAGCCUCCUCCUUACCUCGGCUCCCUCCUCGCCUCCUCCUCACCUCGCCCGCCUCCUCCUCGCCUCACCUCACCUUGGCGCCCUCCUGGCCUCUUCCUCGCCUCGGCGCCCUCCUCGCCUCCUCCUCGCAUCAAAUUUCCUGUAACCAUCAUUGAUAAAAAUCAAGAAUUUGAGCAAGGUGCAAGGUAAUGAACCAUGUCCUGUAACGUUGUUUACUCUUCCCAUGAAUUCUAUAGGUGUUGAGUAAAGGUGAGCUACUGGUAAUUAGUUGUUGCUGCUGCAUUAUGUGAUUAUCUAGUCAAAAUUGAUAGUAAUUAGUUGUUGCUGCUGCUGCAUUAGUUAGUCUAUGAUUGUAUAAAAUUUUGAUGUAUUGGAUGUGGUUAAUGUAUCAUAGAAUAAGUGAUUAUCUACAUGUGUGUAUUGGAUGUGGUUAUUGCAUAUGUGGAUGUGGUUAAUGUAUCAAAAUUUGAUGUAUUGGAUGUGGUUAAUGUGUCAAAAUUUGAUGUAUUGGAUGUGGUUACAUUAUCUAUAUGUGUGUAUUCAAAGAAGCUUCACUUUCUUUUCUAAGUGACAUGUUUUCAAUUUUUGCAUUUUUUUUCUUAGUAUGUGGUUCAUGUAGAUGGAGGUAUACACAUGCAGAGGCCGCAAUCUCCAACCUCUUCAUCUAGCACUAUCAUAAGUAGAAGCAGCACUAGCCGUGGCCAUAGGGGCCAACGACUUAGUAAUUGGAACAAGGUUGUGCAAGAAAAUGAAGAGGCGGUCGCAGCUCAUGAAGUUGAUCAAUACUUGGAUGCUGCAUUAGAUCCAACUGAUGAAGAAGAUCAAUUUGACAUCCUGUGUUGGUGGAAGGUUAAUGGAUGCAAGUUUCCAGUCUUAGCAGCAAUUGCAAGAGAUGUUCUUGCAAUUCAGACCUCAACAGUGGCCUCUGAGUCAUGCUUCUCAACAGGGGGCAGAGUUAUUGAUUGUUUUAGGAGCUCAUUAACUCCUAAAUCAGUGGAGGGACUCAUUUGCAUGCAAAACUGGAUGUUAGGUGAUGAUAUUGCAGAGGUUGUCGAAGAUAUUGAUGAACCAACAAUUGAAAACACAGAGUUUUAUUACAAUGUUGAGCGAGGUAUGAAUUUUGAUGUGUUUAUACUUUUUUGUUAUUUUCAUAUGUAUGGACUAACUUUUUUUCAUUUUUGCAGAGCAUGAGAGCAUUGCUUCAAGCAAGAACAAUUGUCCACCUCCAACUGCAAAAGUGAAAGGGAAGUCUGUUGCAACCGGUAUUCUCAUCAAUGAUUAGAGUUGAAAUUUUUUGUAUUUGGAGCAGCUUAGAGCUUGUGCUAUCAGAUUCACUACUUUCUUGUUUUCUUUUGAACUUUAUAAUGAUGUGUGAACUUGAGUAAUUGUAGUUACUCUAGUUUAAUUGUAGUUAUGACUUAUGAAUUAUGGAUUCAGAUGAUGCAGUCUAUAUAUUAUAGGAAUAUAUUGGUAUCAUUAUCAGGUAAUAUUGGGGCGGGAUGGCAGGAUUGGACCCGCGGGAUGGCGGGAUUGGACCCGUCUCGUCCCGGUCCCGUCUGGGACGGGACUUGCGUGGGAUUAAGUCUUAAAAACGUAAGGCCCGUCCCGAUCCCGAUCCCGUCCCGUGUGCAAUGUCUGGGACGGGCCGUGGGAUGACCCUAAUCUCGUCCCGUCCCAUCCGGUCCCAUGCCCACCCCUAGCUGAGGGUGCUCUUUCUAGGGAGGAUCGACAAUCUACGUCAAUGCUUCUGGUCGGAACUCGAGGUAGAAAAAAGGUUGGCUUGCGCCGAAGUUGGGUCUUUCUGGCCACGACUAAUGACUAGGGAAGCGGCUGCCGACCUGGCUUUUAUGAAAAAAAAAAAAAAAAACCACGUCGAGCACUUGACGGUUUGAUGAUGAUGUCAACGUGGUCAAGGGUAGUGGCUAAGCCGUCUUGGCUGCAAUCAGUGCUGAUUGAGAUUAUCGGAAUGAGACAGAUGCAAAUUACUGGGGUUGAGGAAUGGGUUUGGGUUCUUAGGCCUGGGUCUCAAGCGCACAAAAUGUCAGAUUUAGAAUUGGGCUGUUGAGCAUGAUUUCAACCUAACUGCGACUUAAGUCGUAAUAUUUUAGCUUAUAGACAAAUAAAAUCUUGGACCAGUGAUUGUUAAUAUGUACUUGAAUUACUGCAAUUGAGCGCUUAGGCGAUAAUAUGUGUUAACUCUAGUAUCUACAUUUUUUAGUAUCCUCUGAUUCUCUGCUAGGCUCACGAAAAUAAGGUGGCAAAAAUUUACAAUGUAACGGUGAUGUGUUGCCACUGGCCUGAGUUUAUCACUAUAAUUUUUUUUUUUCCAAAAAGAAAUAGCUUUUCCGGAAGAGCUCCCCUUGAAAUUGAAUACAUUUAUAACAAUUAAUUACAUGCGUGCAAGCUACAAAAUUUCAUGUAAGAUUCUACAAUCGAAGUACAAUAAUUCCAACAUAUAGUCUUAAUUUGUGUUAUACAACAAACCAGAAACUUAAAUUCAAAUUUCCCACAGUACCAAAUUGCUAGCAUGAAAAAAAUCUUUACUCAGUUCAUCUCCUUCUCACCAUAGAAACAGGGUUCCCAUCAAACAAGUCAUCAAUCAUAUUCUCAAUAUCUUCCGGUUGGUACCUUAUAUACUUCUCCGUUUGCCUCCCGGAAUCCAAGUGCUGCUUGAACCUCCCCCAGAAAGCCCUGUACGCCGGAAUCAUCACAGCUGACACCGAAACCCUAAGCUCCGACUGAAGCUGCUCGUCGCUCACAACCCACGUGCUCUGCGUCUUGUGUAUCUCAUCAAACAGUGUAUUGAAGCUCUUGAACCUCUCCUUCAGCACAGGCUUCGACACCUUUCCGUUCAACAUCAAACCCUCAUGGUUGAGGCACUGCAAGACCUUUCCCCAUGUGUCCCUCUGGUAAUUCUUAUGGUACCCUCUCAAGUCCGUCGACCUCUUUCUACACCACGUAUUUCCCAUCAAUUCGUGAAUCUCAGUAGAACCCUUAACCUUUUGCAUAAUGUACCUCCCGUUGUUCAUCAAGAAAAUGUACCGUAACGACGAGUCCCUAUACAGCUUAGACUUCAUGUCCAAAUUCGCGUCCAACAUGUCCAUUACGGUAAUCAACUGCAACUGAAACGGCGACCAGGACGGCGUCGUUCCGGGGGUGUUACUGCCGUUGCUUUCUUGUGUGUCAUGGUUUUGCUGAAACACCUCUUCCAGUGAAUCCUUGUACUCACAAGCAUAUUUUAGAUAAUUCAUGACGUAACGUGUCAAGGGGUGAACCGCGCCGCUUGGAACCGGUGUUUUUCCGUUAUCGGACUUGAUAGAAUUCUCUAGAUCACAGAAUAUGCUCACGGCUGCUUCGCCGAGACGGUUCUUCGCCGCCUCGGCAUCAAAGAUCAGGUCCUUGGCAUUCUCCUCUGAAUAGAAGCCUUUAAUAGCCGGGACCAGCUCCCGGAGGCACUCAUACAUGUCCAAUAUUUUGAACAGCUUCUCAGCCGACCGCUUCGUCAGCACUACGGCAUCGGCGAAGUUAAAGAGCUGGACGACCACAGUGCGCGCCAGGUUGCAGAACAAGUCGUCAGCUAUGGCAGGGUGGCCAUCGAAGACGGCGUCGCAGAGCUUCCUCUCUCCGGGAAAGAGAACGGUAGAGCAAGUCUUGACGGCGCUGAUCCACGUGGCGAUCUCUCCUUCGAGAGCUUCCCAUUGCAUUCGCUGGACAUCGUCAAUGCUGAUGUUUUCGUAUCCGAGAUCGUUGAGCGCCGAUUUGAAUGCAUUUCGUCGUGAAAGGCUGUAAACCAUGCAACACUCGUUCUCGUAUCCUGAGGCGAUCAUACAGGUGGCUAUUUUUGUCAUGGUGGCGAUGCUCUCCGGCGAAAACGACGGGAACUCUUCCAAUGGAUCCGGUUCAGUUGCCUCGGCUGGCUUCCGAUCCGGAUCAUUGUUGUUAUGGUUGUUGAAGGAGGCUAGCUUGGCCGUUAACUUGUUAGACAAGCUUGGCUCUGAGCUAGGGUUGGAGUCUGCUCUCUUGUUAUUAUUAGUACUCUCAUCUUGAUUCAGAAGGUUGCGAAAUUCUUCGUCCAAUAAGGCCAUGGCACGCUGCAGAACUGCACUAGUCCGGUUCAACGUCUCCGCCGUUGCAGUGUUGGAAGGGAUAUCCCCUAAAAUGGUCGAGACCUUCGAUAUCCGAAUCACCGCCUCCACGAAAGGCGAGUCUUCGGCCUCGUUUUCGCCAAACCUCGCCGAGCCUUUGCCGUAUUGCUUUAUCAUGGCGUCUAGGGUUUUGCAGAGCGUCUCCACCGAGCCGGGAACCUCUGGCAGGUUGUCUUCUUUUUCUUUGGCUGAUUCGGUCAAGACAACCAAGAAGCAAUCGACUUCUUCUAGUACUUCAUCGUGGCUUAUCUCGGGGACAUCAGGGUCUUGGUGAUCGGAGCCAACUUCUUUCUCUUCUGUCUCCUCUUCGUCGAUGGUGUCAUAGCGUUUUCUUGGAGUGGUGGGGCCUGAAAAGAUGUUCUUUUUGCCGGAUUGUUGUCUAGGAAAACUCGCGGACUUUUCAGGCGCCGGUGUGGUUUUCUCCAUCAAGUCCGAUCUACGAUCCCCUCCGGUUGACUACAAUUGAUGGAUGAAUUCUCUAUUCGCGUUUUUUUUUGGUCGGGACAAAAAAAUCUCAGCAAAUUGGGAAGCUGAAACAAAAUGGAAAAUGGGAUUGGGAGAGAAGAAUCUGGAUCGGGCAACAAAGAAUGGAUCAAUGGAAAUGGAUGAAGGAGGAUAUUUCGGAGGGAAGGAAUGGUAAUUAGAGAGGUGUAGUACGAAUGGAUAGGGUGGAGUUUGAUUUUAGGAGCUUGAAGAUGUUUUGAUUUUGUGUUUUAAUGGUGAUUUUGGCCGUUGGUUUUGGGAAGGUGGAAGUUGUCUGUUGACGGUUGACCUUUUUUUAGGGUUCAUUUUGUGCUCCCCACGACUGUUCCACUCUUUGUGCAUGAAACUCGAUCUAAAAUGAUUAGCUCAGGAAUCGUAUCAUCCUCUUGUAGAGUUGUGUGCUUAAACAAUUAUUUGUUCUUGUGCACAAUUCUACACUAAUUCUAGCUACGACGUGGUCGCUCACGAUGUGUAGUUAACUUAUCUAAUUGAAUUGUUAUUUGUUAUGGCCACAUGUUAGGUGUUGCUUGAUUGGUCAUAUCACUACUACUAGCUAGAAACUUCGACUGCCUAACCAUUCUGCUGCUAGAUGAAUAAAAGGGGCAUAGGGUUUCAGGUUAUCUUAAAUUCUGAUGGGAGGAUAAAAUUUUCUGUUAUGUUUCUAUGAUUUAUAGGUUAGCUGCAAUGACAAAAUAACAAGGGAUAUGGAUUGCAGUUUCAUCCAUGUCAUUGACAACUUAACAAAAUAACAAGGGAUACUUAAGAUGCUGAGACCCUUUGCUUAGAUAUCUAGUCGACCUCAUCCUCGUGAUUUGAUCGGAUCUAGCAGCUAGUGUUGUUGUUCAUAACGGUUGUCGGAGUUGAUUCCCCGUUAACAUAAGGGCUUUCUUCCCGUCCUCGCCGCCGUGGCUAUGAUGUUUUGGUGGCCUUGUGGGGUGGGUUGCCACUUGCCGGAGGUAGAAAAGCUCCGUGCAAGGGAGUUUGAGAGAAGAUGGACAUAUAUAUUGGCCAUGCAGUUAGCUUUGAUUUUUGCGUUGCGGCAGUCUUGUCCUUAAUGUUGGGCCUCGGUAUGAGGUUUAUUAAGCUAAGUAGGUUUAGGGCUUUAGUGGGCAGAGGAGUAGAAUCCCACCGUAUCUUAUAACACACGGUAAUAAGUGCGCUCAUGUAUGAUUUGUUAGGAACUUUAUUUGCCAUAAGUAAAAUCCUGGCAUGAGAAACGAAUCUUGCAAACUCUAGUUAUGGUGUACAGUGGGCGUAGCUAAAAACUUGAUUUAGAAGGGUCAAGAUUUAAAUGAUUAAGUUAAUUAAGAUAAGAUAUCGAUACGUAGUCAUUUCAUAGAAAAUCUUUUAAUUGUUGGUUUAUGCCUAACAUUAUAAAUUACCUCAUUAGAUUGAUUCAUGAGAGAAAUAUCGAUUAUGAAUUCUUCUUUCUUUUGUAUUUAUAGAAACUGCGAAGGAAUUUAUCAAACAUUACCAUUAGAAAUGAAAGUAAUGUCGUUUGUAGGAACUUAAUUAGGAGGGUCAUUUCUAUUUUUCUAUACAGACCACUUAACUAAUCAAUCAAAAAUUAUGUAUGAGAAAGGUCAAUUGACCCUUCUCGUCCCCCUCUCCUCACGCCCAUGAUGGUGUAGGAUUGUAUGUAUUGCUUUUUUGUUUUCUGUUGAUUUUUUUCUUACAACUGGUACAAUAACUAGUAGUUUGUGAGCGAAUCUUCACUCAACAGAAUGGUAUAAAACUAUCGAGUUUUUUUUUUUGGAUAGAAAACUAUCGAGUUACUAUUGAUUGGUUAUUUGUAAAAGACAAUAAAUACAAUCUCGUCUUUGUGUUUGUGUAUGUAAUGCAGCUAGGCUUGGACCAUUUUGGUUCUCUAAUUAGACCUACUUGUGUAGAGCUCACACCCCAAAAUCCUAAUGGAAGAGGUACUAUGUUUUAGAUCGAUGUGCGAAUGGUAGGCGUCGCAACACUACGAUUAUGAACUAGCACUACCAACAACCAAGUCUAAACAAUAGUAAGUAGCACGUGCAAGUGCAGGUGACUAGUUCCUUCCCGCCAGAUUCAUGAGAGGAACAAAAUGUCGAAAUUAUUGUAUACAUAAUUUCAUUAUGAUUUAAUCUUUUAAUUGUUUCAUUUGAUAGAAUCUUUAUAAGGUUUGCUCCUUCGGUUUCACUGGUUUGGUGUUUUGUUGAAUGUUGCAUCGAUGCUAGCCAACUUGAUCUAAUCUUCAAGUAUUUUGACUCUUAUUGCUAACUUCAUUCUCCGCAUAGCUUGCAAUCGAACACAAUAUCUUUGGCUCCUGUGAUGCUACCUUUCUUCAGAACCAUGGGCACCUGGAUCCUCUCCCAAUUGAUUGGGAUUGGCUUCGUAAUCCUUACUCUAUUUCUCUUCUAUUGAAAAAACUGUAAUGGUUACGUUAUGACGUAUUUUGUUGAUGUAAAGUUGAAGUUUAUCUCACGAGAAAGUUCAUAUUAUAAAAAAUUGAACUAAAUUAGCAAAUACUAGGUGUUGAUUUACUUGCUACGAAAACAUUUUAGUAGUCUCCCUACGUACGAUUCCUUCUUUUCCCUAUUUCAUGUCGUUCUAAAUGCUGCAACUCAUGAAAGAGUCUACAGAGAACAGACCAUUCCAAAUUGAUACCAUACUCACAAAAUUUAUUACUGAAAAUGAAAAGAAACGAGAAAAAUGAAUCUUAGCACCAUUGCAUAACAAUAAACGUGAAUAAAUAUAACAGUAAAAAAAAUCAACCGGAACUGGACGUGGGGGUGGGACUCUUAUAUAGGAAUAGGCAAUAGACUUGUUAAUUUACACCAGCUGGCCGGUAAUGCAAUACCAAACACAGCUUUCACAAACCAAAAACCAGAAAGCUCAUGAAUUAAACCAAAGAAGAAGACACGCUGCUGUCACCAUCUGAAUCUCAGAGGCAAAACUUUCCCAAACUAAUGAAAGAAAGGAGAACCUUCUCUGUAGACUUUGACAGGGUUAUUAUCAUGUCAUAACCCAGAAUCCCCAUUUUCCAUGAUUUCGCAUUUGGAAUAUAUAUUGUCGGUGCUGCACUAUUUCUGGGUUUCAAUUACUACCACUGGCAUCAAAUUUCAAUGAUCACGAACUAGUCCAAAACCUUAAAGGCCAGACGUGUGGCAUCUUCAUUUUGGACCGUUGUCUUCAAGGAGUGGGGAGCAAAGACUAAUAAAUUUGCAGUCAUUUUCGUAGAUUCCAGCCAAAAGCGCAUACAGAGGAGUUAACUUGUACUAAGGAGACUUGAGUUUUUUCAUUGCUCCAUUUAGAAUGGGGGACUGUGUGUUUCUGUAUCACUUGCUAUAUUGGUUGGAAACGUAAAGUUCGUCCGUUAUGAUGAAUGAAUGUGGCAGAUGACUUGGAUUUCCAUACAUUAGAUAGUGGCCCAUGAUUUGAUUAUUCAACAGUACUAAUGCCUAAUAUAUAUGUUUGUUAGGUACAUGAAGAUGUGGGAGCUCAAUAUUCCUUCAACAGUAAAAACUUUUGAUUGGCUAUCUCGCGAAAUCGCUUCAAAACUAGAGGUGUGUUACUUGUCAAGUUCCUCAUUUUAUGAGUUAUACUUACCCUUUAAUUAUGUGCAACUCAAACAGAAACGGUUUCUCAUAUGUUCAUGCAUUGCUCUUUUGUUCGCAAAGCAGUGUGGUCUCUUGCAAGUUGCGCCUACUGCUAACCUGUUACAUGGACAACGUUCUAUUGUUGAUUGGUUUCAAUAUAUUUUUACUACGUAUUCUCAUGCUGAUAUCUAUUUUAUUCUUAUGUUAUUAUGGUCUCCAAAACCAUCUAAGAUUCCGAAAGGUUACUCCUCAACCUAGUCGUACUUGCUAUCAUGCGUUCGUCGCGGGUAGAUCCUAUCAACAAGCAAACAAAUCUUUGCAUAAACAUCAGAUUAGUCCUGCUCCUCAUAUCUAUUGGAGAUCUCCUAAUGUGCAUCAAGUAAAGCUCAAGUUUAAUAGAUGAAUUGAAAUUUGUUUACUCCUUAUGGUUUGAAGUUGGCAUAUGUUUAGUUCUUGUGGUUUUAUUUUAAUCUGAAUAGUUCUUAAAGUCAAUUUUCUCAGUUAAAUUGCUGACGUGGCCUUUAACUGAGAAAAUUAUCGGAAUGACUAUUUGGAUGAAAAAUCGUGACUUUAAGGACUAUUCAGAUUAAAAUAAAAUCAUAAAGACUAUUUGGAUGAAAAAUCAUGACUUUAAGGACUAUUCAAAUUAAAAUAAAACUAUAAGAAACUAAACAGAUGUCGACUUCAAACCACAAUGACUAUACAGUAUUUUUCCCUUAAUAGAUCAACUAGAAAUAGUGUAGCUACUUUCAGUUUCACCAUUAGAGAUAUCACCGGUAACACUAUUAUAUCUGCUAGUAGGGCGAUUGGUGCAGCCUGGUUCUUGUUGCAGAUGCGACUGCUCUUCAUAAGAAUUUUCAGUUUAGUCCUUAACAACUUAUGAAAUGUUGUUAAGCAAGACUUAUUGCUUAUUGAUUGCAUCCACCGGCGGAUAGCAAUCCCUUAGAGGAUUAAAGUGCCCGUUCAAGACAUCCUCAAGCUCACUGCUUAAUUACUUUGACUCCAUUGUGUUUCGUCAUGUGUACCAAAGCUAGUUUUGUCGCAGGCCACCUUAUUUUGCAUGUUCUUCUAAUCAUGCACCUUAUGUCUCAUGCUCUCAGCUUUUCAGUUGGAUCACCUGGGAAGGGGUGUUUCUCAGUUCUCAUGGUUUUGUUUUUUCGUUAUUGUAUUUGUAUUUGUUCUUAAACCUUCCUGUUUUUAUAAGAACAAUUAGGAGCUAUAGUCAUUCGGAUAGCUAGCGAAUUAAUUUAUGUAAUAUAUUUAAAGAUUCAGCUAUCGAUAUAUAUAUAUAUAUAUUCAAAUGUAUUCUUAACAUAUAGAUUCAACCACCGGAUAACCAAGUGUUGCGAGAACAUAUUGUGAUAUUUGCAUGUUUAUAUCAAAACUUAGGUGGAGAAUAUCUUGAACGACAUUUAAAUGCUACAAUUGUCAGUUGACACAAUCUAUGAAAAGAUUUGAGUAACUUUCUACAAACCAAAAACGUGUAUGAUUCAAAAUGUAUGUGAAUGCAUAACAAUUUGUUAGUCAACUUUAUAACAAUCUUACUAACUCGACGCCGACAAAUCUUCACACAACUGGACUAAUUUGUUUCACAGGAUGCUUUUACAUGAGCACCAACACGGCAACACCUUCUCUAAGUUGCUCCAAAAAUUCAACAUAAACAAACCUCAAGUUGGUCAUUGCUCCGAGCAUAUUCUCACCGGAGAAAGACACCACGCAUCGUUUUCAUGCAGGGUGGGACCAACAACCAUCAUCAACCGUUGUGAAAUAUUGAACGGUCAAUACGCAUCCGUCACAGUUCAUGCUGCAGUGACUUUGAGCAAUCCGCCAAUCGUGCAGUUCGACACGUUUAUGUGCUCUCAAUCAAAAAUCGUAAAUAAUCACAUCACAAGGCUAAUUUAUGGCAUCACAAAUUCACAACCACUCGUUGUGUUCAAGGCAGUCAAAUUUUCCCACUUAACGCUUUGUGUGUUGUCUGCACAGAACAACAUGGGAGGAUUUACCUUCUCGGUUAAAAAUAGGCUUUUUGAGAAUAUCUAGAGCGAGAUACAGAGCUUGCCAUUUCUAUUUCUUUUCUCUCGUCUGGUCAAAGAUAGAGGGAAGGAGUUAAGAGAAAAAAAAGAGUGUUGUUAUAGUGUUGUUGCGGGUUCAGUGGGUUGUGAACAAAGUGGAAGACAAAGCCGGCUCUCUUUUGGUUUUUCAGAUUAUCUAAAGGACGACCCUCAAAGACCAAAAGCAUUUUCGUUUUCACUUUCUCUCUUUGUUAUCGUUUUUGGGUGUUUCUGAGAGAAGUUGGAUUCGUUGUCUUGUCGUUUCUUGCAUCUGCCUUGAUCGCUUAAACAAACACAACGGCCCAGAAUUUUGGAUAGGCCUGCCAUGUUGUUGUUGUUGUUGUGAUUGCAAAACCAAAGCUUUGAUCUUUUUUUAAUUUUUUGUAUUGGAAGACUUCAAAGUUUUGAGCUUUUCUUGGAUUGAAGAGAGAAAGGAGGUGAAAUUUGAGUUUGUGGGUCAAAGUUAGAUGGGGUGUUUUCCGUGUUUUGAUUCCAAAGAGGAGGAGAAGCUGAAUCCGGAGAAAGAAAGCGAUGAUCGGAAGCAGGGUCAACCGACGGUGUCUUCUAACAUUUCCAGAUUGCCUUCCGGUUUGUUCUUCACCUUUUUCCGGCUUAUUUUAUUGAUUGGUUGCUAUUUGGUAGCUUCAUUGUGUUGUUAUUGCUCGAUCUGAUCUGGGUGUUUCUUGAUCAUAUGCAAUAUGUUAGAUGAUUGAUAGUGAUGCCUUGUUUGUUUUAGUUAUUUGAGGUGUAUGGUGGACUAGAUUGGUUGUUUGCUUAUGUUUGUGAGCUCUGAAUUUGAGGGGGUCUGGGUAGACCCCACUGGAAUUUGACGUAGUUUGUAAAAGGGUGAUGCUUUCUUUUGGGAAAAUUGGAUCUCAUGAUGAUUUCGAUUGCAGAGGUUGAUCAGAUUCUUAUUCGGUGUUGUUGUCCAAAGAUAUGGCUAAUUUCCAUAUAUGAGGAGAUGAGAUAAGUAUCAGAUUGUAUGGCUAAAUUUAGACAUGUCAUAUUAAGUUCAAUUCAUAUAUGUAUAUUCUGUCUUUGAUUGGAAUUGCGGUUUUGACUUCCAUUUCUUGCAAAUGUGCUGGAUUGUUUAAUGUUUUAUUGGAGUUUUAAGUUGGAAGAUUUUGAUACUUAUGGUUCUGCGCUAAAUUGUUUGUGAUUGUUAUGCAGGAGUUGACAGACUGAGAUCAAGAAGCAAUGGGGGGUCAAGAAGGGUUGAUGUAGGGUCCAAAAUGCCUGAUCCCAAGGAUGUAGUACCUGGGGGCCAAAUUGCGGCCCAAACUUUCACUUUUCGUGAGCUUGCUACUGCAACAAAAAAUUUUAGACCCGAGUCUUUCAUAGGAGAAGGGGGUUUUGGGCGUGUAUACAAGGGGCGACUCGAGAGCACCGGUCAAGUAAAUUUCUUUCUGAUCCAUGAUUUCAUUUUUAUAUAAUGAACAGUUGAAUUGAUUAAACAGAGCAAAUUAGGUAAUGUUGCAUGAAGUACGAUUUAGAUAUCAAACAUAAGCGUUUUGGAUAAGUUUCUGAAGUAAAAUAGUAGAAUUCAAGGCUAAUGUUAGAUUAUAGACUAGUCAAUAUGGCUUAUACUUUUCUGAGGCUGCAAAUUAGUACUUAACACAUGGCUGACCUAUCAAUUGGGGGGGGGGGGGGGGGGGGUUGGGGUGUGUGUGUGUUGGGUGGGUUAGAGAAAACAAGUUUCUCUUUAAGAAAAAAAUUAUCUAGCAUGAGUUCACUGAUUUACUUGCAACCGCGGAGGUGAUUCUGCUUUCUUAACAAUUGUUUUGUGGCUAAAUAAGUGAAAACAAGUUUCUCUUAAGAAAAAAGAUUAUCUAGCAUGAGUUCACUGAUUAACUUGCAACCGCUGCGGUGAUUCUGCAUUCUUAACAAUUGCUUUGUGGCUUUUAUAGAUUGUUGCUGUUAAGCAAUUGGAUAGGAACGGGCUUCAGGGAAAUAGAGAAUUUCUAGUCGAGGUUCUCAUGCUAAGUCUUUUACAUCAUACAAACCUGGUGAACCUGAUUGGAUACUGUGCAGAUGGAGAUCAAAGGCUUCUUGUUUAUGAGUUUAUGCCCUUAGGAUCAUUGGAAGAUCACCUUCAUGGUAACUUUUUCUUUAAAUCCCUGUUGUAUUUAGUCUUUUGCCUUAUCAUCUGUUUCUCUGAUUAGAAAUUAUUCCUGUCUAAAUUUUGUUUUAUUAAUAACUAGUGAAGCGUCACUUAUAAAUUGUUGAAUGACAUGACAAGCUGAACAUUUCCGCUUGCUAGGUCGAACUGCUGUUUUAGAAUGAGUCUUGGGUCUUGGUGUUGCAUGUCUUGGUAAAAUACAGAAAAGAAAAUCUUACUUGUGUUUUUGGUGGCAUAUUUUUUUUUUGGACAAAUGAAAUUCUUUAUUUGUCUGCUAAAAACAGCAGCAAACAAGAGCAAGCAAUGAAAACACCUACUAUACCUCAUAACUAGUUUCAACAAUGACAAGAAAAUGCAGUAGUGGAAAGUGGAAACUGGGAAGAGCCAGCAAGUUUAGGGUGGGGCCCUCAUAUCUAACAUUAAGUUUGGUGACUUAUAGGCGAUGCACACGAAUUUUAUUUUCCAUGUUAUUGCACCAUUUGUUGCCUCUUGUGGUGAGAGUCUGUUUGGUGAGUUAUAGAUCAUGCACACAAAUUCUGUUUUCCAUGUUAUUGCACCUUUGUUGCCUCUUGUGGUGAACUGGUGAUUGAGAGUCUGUUUGGUUACUUAUAGACAAUGCACACAAAUGCUGCUUCCAAUGUUAUUGCACCAUUCCUCCUCUCUCUCUCUCUCCUCCCCNNNNNNNNNNNNNNNNNNNNNNNNNNNNNNNNNNNNNNNNNNNNNNNNNNNNNNNNNNNNNNNNNNNNNNNNNNNNNNNNNNNNNNNNNNNNNNNNNNNNNNNNNNNNNNNNNNNNNNNNNNNNNNNNNNNNNNNNNNNNNNUUCCCCCCCCCCCCCUGGCGGCUGAAUUAUAUUGAACUUUUUUUGCAAAUAAGAUUGUACAAUUUAUGUAGAGGAUUUUAUAUACAAGUGAUUUUGUUGAAUAAUCCAUGAUAAGAUUGUACAAUUUAUGUAGAGGAUUUUAUAUACAAGUGAUUUUGUUGAAUAAUCCAUGAUAGUAGUUUGAUGAGUUUAUCCUUCUGCAGAUGUUCCUCUAGAUAAAGAAGUAUUGGAUUGGAACACAAGAAUGAAAAUAGCUGCUGGUGCAGCCAAAGGAUUGGAAUACCUACAUGACAAGGCAAACCCUCCAGUUAUAUACAGGGACUUCAAAUCAUCAAAUAUAUUACUGGAAGAAGGAUUUCACCCUAAGCUUUCAGAUUUUGGGCUUGCAAAGCUUGGUCCUACUGGAGACAAGUCACAUGUUUCUACCCGGGUUAUGGGCACUUAUGGUUAUUGUGCUCCAGAGUAUGCAAUGACAGGACAAUUGACAGUGAAGUCGGAUGUCUACAGCUUUGGGGUGGUGUUUUUGGAGCUGAUUACUGGCCGUAAAGCCAUUGAUAGCACUAGAUCCCAUGGGGAACAGAACCUUGUCACUUGGGUAAUUUUUUUUCUACUUUGUUUCUUUUGUAGCUCAUUUGCCUAUAACCUAUCUUCUUGUUCUGCAAGGUUUUGUGGUUGUGACAAAGUUGUGUUUGCAAAAUAAUGAGAAUUUGUAUGUGUAUGUGCACGUCUACAGGCACGUCCCUUGUUCAAUGAUCGCAGGAAGUUUUCAAAAUUGGCAGAUCCGAGACUGCAGGGGCGGUAUCCAAUGAGGGGUCUCUACCAAGCUCUUGCUGUGGCAUCCAUGUGCAUUCAGGAACAAGCGGCCACACGUCCUCUGAUUGGGGAUGUGGUUACUGCUCUAUCUUAUCUAGCCAACCAGGCAUAUGACCCUACUGCUGCAUCAGGGCAUGGUCAUAGAAGUUCUGGAGAAAAGGAUGAGAGACGAAGAGAUGAGAGAGGUGGAAGGAUAUUGAAGAAUGAGGAAGGGGGAGGAUCUGGACGCAAAUGGCCAGAUUUAGAUGGUGGGUCUGAGAAGGAUGAUUCCCCAAAGGAAACUGCAAGGAUGUUAAACCGGGAUUUGGAUAGAGAACGGGCUGUUGCUGAGGCCAAGAUGUGGGGUGAGAAUUGGCGAGAGAAGAGACGACAGAGUGCACAAGGCAGUUUUGACGGUACUAAUUUGUAGUGCCAUUGAGUACAAUACACCAUGCCUUGUCUACCUUGAUUCCUUUUCCUCCUAAGAUGUAAGAAGCUGUGUUGUUGUUGUUUUCUGGCUGCUCAGUGUAAGGGAGCUGGUGCAUGCCGACACAUGUUUUCUAAUUUAACCCUUUUCUUUUCUUUUGCCUUUGAUCAAAACAUGAUAAGAAGAAGAACCAUAAAAAGAAAGUGUAAUUAUCUUCUAGGAGAGUGAGAACAGAAGGACAGGACGUUUUGCAAAAUUUUGAGAGUAAACACGUCUGGAUAAUACUGUAUUGUUCUUCUGUUGUCGACUCUAUGUACCUGUAGUGUUCUUGAACAAAAAAAAAAAAUGCAUCUCUGGUGUUUUUUGGCUGUUUUGUUUUCUGUCUUCAACCCGUAGACCCCAGUUACCCCGUCUUAUGAAAAUGGGGUUAAACUAUAUUACUGGAAUAGAUUAAACAAAUAACAUACGAUUGCCUCGAUGAUCUUAACCAUACAAAAUAAACUUCGAGCCGUAACUUCUACUUUUAUGUUUUAAUCUUAAGAUUGUAACCUAGGAGUGCGGUUAUUAGGAGUGCGGUUAUUAGGACCUUCAAAUUUGCUCAGUAUACCUCUCAUUUUCUCUACACCUCCGUUUUACUUUUAAAUACAAGCAUUUGCUCAUUAAACCUCUUUUCAAAUUUCUAAAAUAGCCUUGUUUAUGUAAUUCACAUAUAUAUUAAUAUAUUACUUAUUACACCUUUUAUUCACUUACUAUACCUCUAAUUCUUUUUUUUCUUUUUUCUUUUUGAAUGCGAACAUCCAUUCCCGACUUCCAUUCUUAAAUUUUUUUUUCCCUUUUUCUUUUUAAUGCAAACCUCCAUUCGCGACCUUGAUUUCUUGAUUUUCUUUAUUUUUUGUAUUUUUUUAUUUUGCAUAAAAUGUCACUAGACAUUCAUUUUUUGAUCAAAUUGUAAGAAAUAAUUUUCAAUGACAUCAAUUUUUGAGAAAAGGUAAUUCGAAUCAUAAAGAAUACUAUUCUUUUAAAAAUUAAAAAAGAAAAAGAAGGAUUGUGUCUCAAAUUUUAUUUAUCGAUCAUCAAAAGAAUGUUCUUACAUGAACUAUUUUAUAUUUUUGUUACUUUUUGUAUUUUUAAUAAUUGAUAGAUCAUAAUUUUUGUUAAAAAUAUUUUUUUCACUUUGUAUAUGCAUGCAUGUGACAUGUAUAAUAAUAUAAAUAUAUAAAUGCUUUAAUAAGUAUGUGGUAAAACUACAAAAUAAAAAUCAAUAAGGAAAAUAAUAAAAAUGUAAUCCAUUAUUAUUGAAUUAGAAGGUUUAGAGAGAAUAAAUGUAAUAUUACUUUUUGUUUAACUAGUGUCCUUAAUAGUCAUUGUGUAAAAGGAUAAAUAUGUCAUUUAAUAAUUCAUAAUCGAGUGAGGUCAAGUGAACAAAUUUGGAGGUCUCAAUAGCCGCACUCGUAAACUAGUUGCUAAUCAAUAAGGUAGCCAUGUUCAAGAAGAUCAUUAAGGGUAGCCGCACCUAAAGCAAAAUACUUGUGGUGUGGUAUAUAUGCAACGAAGGGGGUCGAAAGAAAAUUUACGGCAAAAUAAUAGAACGUUUGUUGUUUCCCAAACCAUGUACCCCAUCAUUUUGUAAGGAUCUGAAAUUCUGAACGUUGUACACCAAGUUAUAAACUAGUCUUCCAAUUAUUUGCACUUAAUUGAGAACUAAAAAUUGCCAUCCCAAUCUUCUUGGAAAUUAAUCAUAGAUUGCCAAAAUUAUAAGCCAAUACUACACAGAAGUCUGGAUCAUUAAGAGAAAGAUGAAGACGUACGUACAACUAAUUGAAAACUAAUAUUGCAGGGGCCCUAGCUGACUUAAUAGAUCUUUGUUAACUAUUGGACACAAAAUGGUUCUACAUGAAAACGAAAAGGACAAACGCAAAACGCAUACUAAGUUAAUGAUUACACAAGUGAAAGCACCAUAGCAGCAUAGCUGUAGCUUUCUUUGUUCCACCCUUACUUACAGCUGUAGCACAGAAACAAGAAGAGCAGAUCGAGAUAGUUCAAGCCAGAAGAAGCUAUCUACUCCUAGCUCGCGCUAGAAAUCAAAUCCGACAUGUCGUAACUGUUACACUUUGUAGUUGAGCCUCACUCUACACAUGGUUCAUCAGACUUCAGUUGAAGCUCACCUGAUGCAUCCAUGUCUACCAGCACCACCACGCACUUCUCAUGUUCAUCACCAUCACCCUCCUUAUUUCCAUCUUUUCCGUCCACGUCUUCGCCGUCAUUGCCAUCGCAAUGCUUAGCAUCCACCGGAUGAACUUCGGAAGUUGGGAUAGUGCUCAGAAUCACAAUACUUUUCAUUUGUUCCGGCGCCCGGAGCUUGUCCUCCGGAUCAAAUAUGACAGGCUUGCGGUUUCUGUAUAUGGCGUAGAGCAGCAUCUGAAGGAGACCCAAGAUAAAACCUAACACGUUUGGAAGCUAUAUGAAAAGAGAAAACUCAUUAGUGUGGAAGUGAUGAAUUACUGAGAUGUAUAUAUAUGUAACUUUUUUUUGGAAAUAAUUACUACUUACUGCUAUGCAUAUGUCCUUGAGGAACAAUCCAUAGGCAAACCACAUCACGGCACUCAAAGUAAGGAAGAAUGAUAAACUGAAUGGCAUGAAUUCAACACUUUUUGUGCGGAUUACAUGUGCCUGCAUUUACAAAAAGAACAGGUAGAAAAGUUAAUAAUUAGAAGGUAAAAUUCAUUAUAUGUAGUAAAGAAGUUUAUUGCCACAAAAUGAUUUUGUCUUGCUUGAUAUAUAUUUGAAACAAUAUUAUAUGAGGCAGCAACUUACCACAAUACUCAACGGCGCAGCGAAAACACAAACGGAAAUGGCAACGUUGAUCCAUCCAAGAACCGGGGCACGGUAUUCACUAUGAAAUGCAUACUGUAAAAUGACAAGGAUCAAGGAGAAGAGUCCCAAGUUCAUGAACCCGAGUAACUUGAUAGUGAAUUUCUGCAGUCGAUCAAAUUCAGCAAUUGUAAAUCAGUUAGGGAAGCUAUUCAAAUAUUGAUACGUCUAAAUCAUUUGUAAUUUACGUAGCACACGUACCCUUGAAGCCUUGGUUGCAUAAACAAUGUACAUGGCGAUGUACAGAGUCUCUAUCACACUUCCGAAAGUGUUGAUUGUGAUGAGCAGCACAGCGUUUUGUUUCAGCAUGGCAUAGUAAAGCCAAAGCGUGGCACUAAACAGCGCUACCAGAUAUGGCACCGAUUGGAAACCUUCAGUCGAUUUCUUUUUGAAGAUCCGGUAAAACGUCGGCCUGCAAUUACAAAAAAAAAAAGUUAAUAAUUUAACUUGUGCCUACUACGUAAAAAGAACAUAUACAUAAUGCAUGUAAAAAUAAAAAAAGAUUCGUUGAUUGAUUACUUACACAGGGGCUAAGUAAACCAUGAAGGAAAUCAGAUUACCUGCCAUGAGAAGCGAAAGUUUAUUAGAAAUUAAGGAACUCAUUCAACUGGAUCAUAAACUACGUACCAAGAUCAUAACUAAUCAUUAGUAUUAUAUAUAGCGGGCAUGAGGAAGGUUGAUCAUGAGAUUGCUUCAACAAAUAAUGUGUAAACAUAAGCUUUACCCCUAAAUGAAAGAUUAGGACAACAAAACAACUUAAGUCUAAAAUUAAUUUCAAUAUUUUGUGAGAUGUAUGGUAUUGGCCUAUAGUUUUCGGAAAGUCGAAAGACAGAAUUCAGAAGGAUGGGGAGCUCGAAUAAUGUGGCCGAGAUGAUGACCACGACAAGAUAACAAAUAAUGGGGGCUAACUGAUCGACCAUAUAAAGCUGCGUGUUCGUAAAAUAUGACAUACAAAUGCAUCUACGCACCUAAUAUCCCAAAUGUAAAGGCCCAGGGAUGAUGAGCGUCUGCUACAGCUGCCAUAUCUGAUAUUACAGAGAGAAAAGGACCGGAAAGGGUGAUGAACUCAGUUUAAUGUAACGAAAACUGAGAGAGGAUUGAGGAAGAAGAAGAUAGAAGAAGGAGAUAUAUAUAGAACUAGAAGGGCCUGAGUACUGAGGAAACCCUAGAGCUCUAUCUUUCUCUCUACUUUAUCAUGCAGAGAAAAAUGAAAUGCUUGGAUGAUUCUCAGGUUUGCGCAGCUAGCUCCCUUUAUAUACACACAUAAAGGUGUGUAAAAUCAAAGGGGGAUUCGAUGUGCGUAUAAAACUCAUUCUAGUUGCAUGACACAUGGAAGUUUAGUUGGUAGUAUACCAUAAACUCAUUCUCUCAAAAACCACAAGUCUCCACAAGUCUCACCACCGCGCGUGAAAAAGCUCACAGCACCCACCGUAGUAAUGUGAUUAGAGACCAAACAUAAACCCUAAACUCAUCAUGAAAGCUCUUAACUAAUCCCAAUUUACGAAUCAGUUUCAAAACUAAUUGUUUCUUAAUUAAGGGCAUGAAUUUCACGCUCCUGGGAUUAGAGUGGAGCUUAACUCGAAUACGAAAUGAGAUUUUUUACGUUACUCUCACAAAGACCGGAAAGGUGUCCGCCCAAAACCAGUAGAUCCCUCUUUCACGUGAACUAGGGCUCCGCCAAACGCAGCCUUAGUUUCCCAGCCGUUUCUUCAAAACAAAACACACGCCUCGCCGCGUCAACCCUACUUUCUCACACAAGGUUUGUUUUGUUGCAGGGGAAGCUUUUGAGUCGAUUCUGUUAGGCAUUGUUUGGUAGUGGCAUUAGUGAUGGCUAAGCAAGGGCAGCUAGCCUUCACUGUUAUGUUUGGGGUUUCGUGUGCAUCGGGGAUCUCACUAGGGCUCAUAAUUUUUUUCCUUUUUUCUUUCGUUUUCGUGCUCAAGUUCAAAAAAUGAAGCUCCAUGUUUUUCUAUUUUUCAUUUUUUUGCGGUUAUGAGCUUUGAGACAAAGAGCAAUCAUGUGGGUAUCAUCUUUUGGCGUUAUUGCAUAUCUGGUUGGGUCUAGGAAAUGCUAGGUGGAGGGAGAGAAGGAGAUAUGGCUCUUUUCAUGUGUGAUUUGUUAGCUUUGCUUAUAAAAGCUGAAUAUAUGGGGUGAAUAUGUGUACGUUGCUAUAGUUUUGGUGACGCAAUAUGAGUAUACUUGAAAUGAUUUGGGCUCUCUUUUAUUAUCUGGUCGAUGAUUGCAUGAAGAGUGAAAGAGAGAGGCCAAUAAUUCAUUGAUUUAGACACAUUCAUUCAACUUUUUUUUUGAUGAGCACAUUCAUUCAACUUUGCCAUCUGCCACCACAACUCCAAUAUUAGGUGUUCUCGAAAUUUCAAUCAAAUAUGACAACGUUUUUCGUUUUAGUGGCUAACCUAUAUUGCUAGCUCUCUCUUCAUAGGAUGAAGAUGAAGAAAGAUGAUAAAGCCUAAAGCAAGGCCAAUAUCAGGGAGAUGGCAAUUUAAUCUUGAAUUUGUGAUGUUGGCCAUAUGCAUUUAUCUCAUGCUAAUAAUAAGGUUUGGUGGCCAACAUUUUUGUUAAUCGUGGAGGAUAUUAAAAGUAAUCAUGAUUAAUCAUAGAUCGUCAAUAUUAUGCACAAUGCAUGUGUAACACAAAAUUUUACUAAACAAACAAAAUUAGAAACUCAAAAGAUGUAAGUUAUACCUACGAAUUAGCAGCUAAUUAAACUAAAACGACAAUAAAAACAAAUCAGUUAAGUAGGUAAUUGGCCGGUAUACUAUAAAAGACGGCCAAUAUUGGGUUGAUUAACACAUUGUUAUAAGCAUAUAAAAGACGGCCAAUAGAAAUAUCUAAUGUAAAGAGAUGUAAUAAUGAUUCUUGGAAAAACUAAUUUGAAUUAAGUAAGAUCGAUCUCUUCACAUAUAUAAUAACAAAAUAUGAUUCGAUCAUGAAACCCCAUCCAAUUUUAUAUGUGUAAUGAUUCAUCAAGCACUGUGUAUGAUUCUAAAUGUUUGUUAAUUAUCUGAUCUUCACCAAAAAGAGCUUCCAUUGUCUCUGAAAAAAGAAGGCUGACAUGCUAAUUGGAGACAUCGAUCAAUAAUAUGUCUAUUAUAUUUCAUCUCUCCUGAUGAACAAGUCAAAACUUUCCCAUUUCCCAGCCACGUACACUAAUAUAGUCUCGAUCAGUAACUAAUACCCUAAGAGCAUUUGUCGCCAAACCAAAUGAAGAAGAAGUUGUGUAUUUGGCUUUUGUUGAUUUGAAGUAGCUAGCUAGAUAUAUAGUGAAAUCCAUACGUGGUAUGAGUUAGCUGAAAUGGAUCGAAUAGCUAGCUAUAUAUAUCUCUAUACGUACAAACUGAAAAGGAUCUAAUAAUUACGAUAUAUAGGUUAAUUAAUUAAGAUGGUGCUGAUCAAGUCAUGAGUACAUGAAAAUUAAUGUACAAGGAUCAAAGAUUGAAUUAACCAAUUAGCAGUUUGAUGAGACACAGAUCGAUCGAGGACCAGGGGGCACGGCACUGCUCUAUUGCAUCAUCAUUGCGCGUUUACGACAUUUCAUUUCGAUCAGAUCGAUUUGGGGGCCGGAGUCGAAAAGAAAGCUCAGAUUAUAUAUACAUGCUUGUGGUAAUGGAGUUGCCAAUUUGCCAUUUCUCCUUCCUACAAUUGGCUGGAGUCAGUUCACUUAUGUCAUAGCAAAACAAAGCGAGAUAAGGCGCGCAAAUGGUAGAAGAUGACGAUCAUGUUGCAUCUAGCUAUCUUCAAGCCAAUCUCUUUGAGCUUGCCUUUUGAUCUUGUUAUUGGUGUCAAAUUAAGUAGUUUGUGUGCCACAAAUAUUAAUAUCAGUUCUAGUUACUCAGAAAAGGCUCUCUACCUAACUAUAAUCUUUGUGAUUAUUUGCAAAUAGCAAUUAGCUCAUGAAUGAUGUAAUAAUUUUAAACGUAUUACUUUCGUGCAUUGCAAGAAGAAGCUCUUCCUGAAUUGGUUUCAACCUCCGUAAGCUAUAACCCUAGCUAGCUAGGAGUUCAAAAAAGUAGCACCAAAUAAAUGUCAUACUUUAACCUGUAGCACUUGAAUUAUUUCACAAUUUCGUACACAACUCUCUUAAUUUCCCAAUCAUUGAAAUAACUCCCCUCCUUGAUUACAAACAAUUAUUAACUCUACAAAGAAAAUACAUAACUAAUCCAAAGAAAGCGCCACAAAUGCCAACCCGGUUCUAUGGUGUAGUGGUUAGCACUCUGGACUUUGAAUCCAGCGACCUGGGUUCGACUCCCGGUAGGACCUCUUUUGAAUUAAUUUCAAUUAUUUAUUUUUAACUUUUAACUUUUUUAAUUUACUGUUGGGUAACUUGGUAAUUUUUCGUCAGUGUUAUCUUUCAUUUCCAGACCUUCUCCCAUCUUUCUGAUCCUCUUCAAUCUUCAGCUAUCGCAGAAAUGGAGAAGUACCAAACCCUAGAAAUUGCUCAGAAAAACCCUAACUCCCCAGUCUUCUACCUCUACCUCAAUCGCCCCAACCACCGUAACGCCCUAUCACGCGCCUUCUUCACCGAAUUCCCCAAAGCCCUCUCCUCCCUCGACCAAAACCCCGACGCCAACGUCAUCAUCCUCACCGGCGCCGGAGACCACUUCUGCGCCGGAAUCGACCUCAACAACCUAUCCUCGAUCGCCGCGGAAUCCGUCUCCGGAGACCGCGGCCGCGACGGUGAGAGGCUCCGGCGAGCGAUCAAGCUCAUGCAGGACGCCAUCACCGCCAUCGAGCGGUGCCGGAAGCCGGUGAUCGCCGCCGUCCAAGGCGCGUGCAUCGGCGGUGGGAUCGAUAUUAUCACCGCCUGUGACAUAAGGUACUGCAGCAAGGACGCGUUCUUCUCGGUCAAAGAGGUUGACCUGGCCAUCACCGCCGACCUUGGAACGCUGCAGCGGCUGCCCAGUAUAGUCGGGUACGGCCACGCGCUUGAGCUGGCGUUAACGGGUCGGAGGUUCUCGGGUCAGGAGGCCAAGGAGCUGGGCCUGGUCUCUGGAGUAUUCGGGUCGAAGCAGGAGCUGGAGAACGGCGUACGACUCGUCGCAGAGGGUAAAUCGGUCAUUUAAACUUAGUUCCAUCAGUGCAAAUUAGCUUACUAAUUUAGUUUAAGUUUUUUAAACGAUUCCUGGUGGUUGUAGGAAUGGCUGCAAAGUCGCCGUUGGCAGUGACGGGGACGAAGGCGGUGUUGCAGAGGAGCAGGGAGAUGAGUGUGGAGCAGGGAUUGGACUACGUCGCCACGUGGAAUUCGGCAAUGCUGUUAUCCGAUGACUUAACGGAAGCGAUUUCUGCUCACAUGCAGAAAAGAAAGCCGGUGUUUGCCAAGCUCUGAUAUUGCAAAUUGUACGCGACGGAUCUUGCUCAUGUGUUGUAUUACCCUAUUUUUAAGCUUCAGCUGAAAUUUUGAAAAUAAUUUGGUACAAACAUGAGGGUCUGUGACUAAAUAUAUGUUCUAAUUCUUGUAAUAAUUUGCUAGUUGGUAUUAUAAACAUGUCGGUGAGAAUUGAACCUAUGGUCGAGCCUAGUUUUUCUUAUAUUGUAAAGCCUUUACGAACUAAAAAUGCUGUGCUACAGUGCUAGUACUUUAUUGAUCUUGCUACAUGUCUAUAUAUCAACUAUUGAGUAGAUGACAAAAAUUUUGAGGUAUGAUUUGGUAGAUUAGUGUUUAUAUCGAGGAACUGAAAAAAAGAAGAAGAAGAAGAAAUACAGAUAGGGAUGCACACCUGUUGUUGACCCGGCUAUUAGACAUUCAUAAGCAUAUUGGAGUGGGAAAACAACCGCAAGUAGACCAAAAAUUUAGGGGAUUGAAAGGAGACAUGCUUAGAGCUCCGCAAAUUGCUGGCUAAUAUUCAAGAACCAAAUAAAGCCUCAUUGAAAUAGAACAUUCUAUGUUGAUUGUCUAAGUUGUAGGGCUUCCCUUCCUCUAUUUUGAACAUUGUUUCUUGAUCAAAUUAGUUGGCAAUGGUAUUCUACGUGUUGUGGUUCAAACUUUAAAUACCAGCUACAGUAUAUCCAUGGAUUUCCCAAGCUUUCUGUGUUCUAAUUUCCACUCAUUUCUUUUGAGUUCCAAAACUUGCAGUUUGCAGGAAGUUGCAAAUUCGCAAGAAAAAAAUGGCUACGGCCCUUAAGGCUGUGCAUGUCUCAGACGUUCCCAAUCUUGACCAAGCCUCGGAAAUUAAUGCGGCAUUGGCCCUUAUCAAAGCUCCAUGGUCGGCACAUGGUAAGGAAUUUGAAUCAAAAAGUUUUUUUUAGCUGGAGGGUUGAUAAGUUGUGCGGAAAUGAAUGAUUCUGUGUUUCAUGAGUAGGUGUAAAUGAUCAUGAUGAAGGCGUAGAGACCAAAUGUGGAUUCAAAUGGCCGAAAUUUGUGGUGAUGGGACACAGAGGCAGCGGAAUGAACAUGUUGCAAUCAUCUGAUGACAGAAUGAAAUCCAUUAAAGAAAACUCAAUUCGCUCCUUCAACUCUGCCGCUCAAUUGCCUAUCGAUUACAUUGAAUUUGAUGUUCAAGUACUUGUUGUGCCUCUUCAUUUUUCAUCAUUUGCUUUCUUGCUCUUAAUAUUGGUUGAGCGAAAAGACCCUUCUGUGUAGGUGACCAAAGAUGACUGUCCAGUCAUUUUUCAUGACAGCUUUAUCGCCACGGAGGAGAAGGUUAGUUCCAUAUAUCCUACAUAUCUUUGUUUUCGGUUUUCAUAGUGGGACUGCAACUGUGCAAUGAGAAUGUUUGCCUGACCUGUAAUUUGAUUUCAGGGUGUUUUUGUUGAAAAGAGAGUUACAGACAUUACUUUGCCAGAAUUUCUUUCAUAUGGACCCCAGACAGACCUUGGAAAGGUAAUUAUCAAUGCUGAUAUACUCAUUUUCAAAGUGUAAUUUUUGCAUAUGUUGAUGUUCUCUUAACAGAAGUAGUACUUUCAUCCAGGUGAGUAUCCCUAUGUUUAGAAAAACAAAAGAGGGGACAAUUUUUGAGUGGAAGGUAGAGAAGGAUGAUUCCCUAUGUACAUUGCAAGAUGUGUUUGAGAAGGUCGACCGUUCGAUGGGUUUCAAUAUAGAACUGAAGUUUGAUGAUCAGUUUGUGUACAUUGAGAAACAACUCCGACAUGUCCUCCAAGUAGUCUUGCAGGUAUGCAUUUAGUCUUAUAAGAAACUUGGUUUGUUUUACAGCACAAUUUGUUAAUGUUCAUCUGUUAGGUUUAGGUAUGAAAGUUUGUGGAUGGUCAUCGACUCGUCGUCUAUUGCUCAUCCAGUAUAGACUUGUCGUUAUGUGCAUGAACAAGAAUAAUUUGACCUAUUAUGCAGCAGGAAUAACAUCUAUAACUUUUAAAGCAGGUGGUAAACAAGCAUGCGAAGGACAGACCGAUUAUGUUUUCGAGCUUUCAGCCUGAUGUAGUGCUGAUGAUCAGAAAACUGCAGAGCACCUAUCCGGUAAGAUCAACUUCUAAUCCAUAUGCCCUCUCAGCUGGCAAAACAAAAACUGUGCAAUUGAAUGUUGUAAGACUGAACGAGCUAGUCUCCUCGGUGUUUCACUAUAUCGAAAUUGUCAUUUAUCCAGGUAUAUUUCCUCACCAAUGGAGGGUCGGAAAUUUACAAAGAUGUUAGAAGGAACUCUUUGGAAGAGGCAAUUAAGGUGUGUAUGGCUGGCGGUUUGCAAGGAAUUGUGUCAGAAGUAAGAGCUAUCUUGAGAGAUCCAAAUGCAGUAACCCGGAUUAAAGACUCCAAUCUUUGCCUUCUAACCUAUGGCCAAUUAAAGUAAGCUCUAACUGCUUUCUUAACAGUUUUUCAUUCUUACAGUUAAGGGAACUCAUCCAAUUAAUAACGGGAUUCAUGUGAAUUUUGCAGUAAUAUACCAGAGAAAGUUUACAUGCAACAUCUCAUGGGUGUCGAGGGAGUGAUUGUUGACCUUGUCGGAGAGAUCACCGAGGCAGUUUCUGAUCCAAACAACUGAUCAAAGAAUCAAGGGCAGAUGCAUGAACUUGAAUUCAAACUCUUGUUCCUGCUAGGAGCCUAUACCACAGUUGAUACACCAUUUUGGAAGCAAUAUAUGCCACAUGGCCAAACCUAGAGGAGCAAACAACUCUUGUGUAUUAUAGUCACAUUAAAUCUUACAUCAAAAUGUAGUUGUAUCCAAAUAGUUGAGUUCCGAGUUCAAAUUCAGUUCAUGAACAGAUGAUUUCCAAAUUUUUACAGAUGUAAAAUAUGGUGUACAAGGAAGUUACCUGCAAACUGGGAAAAUUUCUAAAAGGGAAAAAAAAAAGAAAAAAAAAGUGUUCUAUGGGAUGUGUUUGUUAUUUCCGUAAUUUCAGUCAACUGAACAGCCAUAUAAAAACCCUCUACCCCCUAGCCCAAGCUAUCAACUUUUUCCAGUUUUCUUUCACAGCCAAUUUCAUUUCUUGAAUGAAAAGCUUGCAACUUUCGUUUUUCCAAAGACGAAUCCACAAAUGGCUCUCAAGGCGCCUCAGCUCUGCUUCUUUCCCAAGCUUCUCCAAGCCCAAGACUAUCCCACAUUACCCUUCUUCUGCCCGCCAUUGAUGACUGAAGGUCAGAAUUCUAGUCUUUCAUUACAUUCUCUGCAUUCUUGUUCUAAAUUUCAAGAAAGAUUUGAUUCUGAGUUCUGGGAUUUUGGGUUCUUGGGUUUUGUGAAUAGAUGGGGAUGAUGAAGGUGAAGCAAGAAAAUGCAGGCACAAAUGGCCGAAGUUGGUAUUGAUAGGACACAGGGGAAAUGGAAUGAACAUGUUGCAGUCCUCUGAUAUCAGAAUGAGAGCAAUCAAAGAGAACUCAAUCCUCUCCUUCAAUUCUGCUGCUCAAUUCCCAAUUGAUUUCGUUGAGUUGGACGUUCAGGUAUCUUUGUACUUCUUUUGGGUUUCCAAUUCGUAAACAAGAUCACUAAUCUUGAUGCACCUUCUACAUUGUGUCACAGUUUGUUUUCUCAGUAGUCUUGCUUUUACAGUAUUCAGAAUUUCCUUUUGUAGGUGACCAAAGAUGACUGUCCAGUAAUUUUUCAUGACAACUUUAUCGUCACUCAUGACAAGGUUAGUUGGUUCUUGAUCAGUCACUCUAAAUCCACAAGUUCUUGAUUUAAUCUGCUUAUGUUCGUUAGUGUAAUUUGUACAUAUUGGCUUCAGGGAGUUUUCAUUGAGAAGAGAGUUACAGACCUUAAGCUACCAGAAUUUCUUUCAUAUGGACCCCAGAAACAUCUUGGAGAGGUCAUCUUCAAUGCCGACUUGUUCAUUUUCAUAUUGAAAAUUUUUGUAUAUGUGGAUGUUUUGUUAAACUAGUCUAAUGUGAUGAAUAUACAGAUGGGAAUGCCUCUGUUUAGAAAAAUGAAAGAUGGAAGAAUUUUUGAGUGGAAGGUGGAAAAGGAUGCCCCCCUAUGCACAUUGCAAGAGGCGUUUGAGAACCUUGAGCAUUCGCUGGGAUUUAAUAUGGAACUGAAGUUUGAUGAUCACAUAGUCUACACAGAGAGACAGCUCAAGCAUGUUCUUCAAGUAAUUUUGCAGGUAAGAAUGCUUAUUCUACAGUCUAUAUACGUGUAAUGAUUGUUGUCUUAAGGUCCAAUUAUUGGUAGAACACAAAUUGGAAUUGGGUAUUUGAACAUUAUUCUUCUGCAAUGUUCAUUCAGAAUCAGUACAUAUAGGUUGUUAAAAUGGAUUGAAAAUGAAACUGUUCAACCUCUUUGCUAUAUAAUGUUGAACAUACAAGUGGGUAUUUUUACUGAAAGUUGUGUAAACAGGUGAUAAAUGAUUAUGCAAAGGGAAGACCAAUCUUCUUCUCAACCUUUCAGCCUGAUGCAGCUCUUUUGAUAAGAAAAAUGCAGAGCAGUUAUCCUGUAAGUAGAUCACCUUGAUUGGAAAGUUUCAUCCAAACUUGGUGUUUUGAAUAGAUAGAACGACUUCUCAGUGUCUGAUUUAUAAUUUUUACCCAGGUAUAUUUCCUCACUGAAGGAGGGUAUCAUCAAAUGCAUGUUGAUGCUAGAAAAAACUCAUUGGAAGCAGCAGUUAAGGUGUGCUUGGCAGGUGGUUUGCAAGGCAUUGUUUCAGAAGUGAGUGCUAUCUUGGGAAAUGAAGAAGCUGUAACCGGGAUUCAAGGGAACAAUCUUCGCCUGUUAACUUACGGCCAACUAAAGUAAGCUCAUUUUUCUUCCUAAGUGUCUGUCAUCAUAAUUCCAAAUACGUUUUCACUUUUUGCAUAAAAUGCCUCUUGACAACCAGUUUUAUGUUGGUCAUCAGAUGUGAGAGAAGUUAUUGUAUACACUAGUUGUAUGCAAGAAUUUCUAGAGAACUUAUCGAUCUGACAAUGAAUUAUAUGCAUGUGCUCUUGCAGUAAUAUGGUAAAGGCUGUGUGCCUGCAACUUCAGAUGGGUGUUGACGGAGUGAUUGUUGACCUUGUUCAAGAGAUCACAGGUGCAGUUUGUGACUGAGUAGUACCCUAGUACAUGAACUCUCAUAGGACAACUGACACUUCCUUUCCUAGUAGCUAGAGGUUCUGAGAUUUAGUUAGGCCAUACAGUCAUACAGCAGCCCAAAUAGACAAGUAGAAAGAAACUAUAUCUUGUUCUGUGCAUAUAUAGAGCUACACAAGAUGAGUACUGCACAGAGAUCACUUUAUCAACAUGAAUUUCAGAAGUUCAGGAUUGAAUUACUUCUGUUUGAUACCUUCUAGAGAUGAUGUUAUUCUCGAUGUAUACAGCAUUUUGUAAAGCCCAGUCCACAUUGUAUGAUGAAAAGAGUAUGCAGUAGUAUCAUUUUCAGACUAUUGAAGCCUUGAAGGUUAACCUUAGUCACUUGGAAUGUAUACGACUAUAUGAAAUCUGUUCUCACCAAAAAAAAAAAGUCCUGACCAAGUAAGCUUCAAACCAAAGGAAAAUUCAGCACGCUCGUACUUGAUACUCCUGGCCCAACCGUACAAAUUCCACCCAUUCAAUAUGUGCAGAGUUUUCCCUGUGAAGUUCCCGUAGAGUAGUGCUUAUCCUAGGCUGUGCACAACUGCCUUGAGCCAUUUCGACUUGCUGUCGCUUCUUGCGACAUGCGUUUAACUGCUCGAGGCCGCUCAAAUUUGCGGAUUUCGGCUAUUAGUAGCUGAAUCCGGUGGGUUAUGCCUGUGCUUACCAAAAUGCAUCACUACAGAUAUAACCCCAUAUAGAGGUUAGAAAUAGUAAGUCAGCAGUAAAUUUUCCCUGUUUUUACUAAUAGAAGGGUUGUCCUAGAGCUCAUGAAAACCUGGAAUAAAGUUAAAAUCAGGAAGACGAUGUAAGUUUGCUUCUGGAAGUAGAAUAUAUACCUUGUAAGUUUCGUAGAAUGAUUUGAUUAUAGACGUACGUACGUAUCUUUACAUGGAGUGAUCGAGGGUGAUGUUAUCAAGUGGGCCAAAUUGGUUUCACUUGCCCAAAAAAGACAUCCAUCUUUGCUACCAUUUCAAAUUUUGGAUGAGCCUUUUGAGGAAGUUUCUUUGUUCCACACAAAGCUCUUUCGAUUCGAUUCGAUUCCAAGUUGGCAGCUCAAGAAAGUAGUAGCAAGGAAGAAAGGUACGUACGUCUCAAUCCCCUUGACAUGUACAAUAUACAUAUACGUACAAGAUUGUCAUGAAUUCAUGGGGACAAGUGGAUAAGUCGUUAUACAUUGUAAUUAAGAGUUUAACACCAUCAUUAGCCAGCCCUAAUUAGGAAAUCACUAUGACAUUCGAACCUAGCUACAUGUCGAAGGACAUGCGUACAUCAUUUUCAUCCAACAUACUCACAAUAACUCACUUUUUUUAAUACUUAUGUACGUACGACACGGUUAGAACUUUGAUUGUACUAAUCAAUACGAACACCAUUUAUUUUUCAUUCUAAAAUAUUAAAAUAUCACACUUAGGCAGUGUAGCUAAGCCACAUGAUUAAGAUAGAGCUUGUCAGAUACAUUCAAGAUACAUAGCAAAUAAAGACAUACAUGACUGCUACUUGUAACCUAAGAACCAAUCAAUGUAAAGCAAUUUGGGUGUUGUUUAAUCAUGCUGGUCAUGUUCCAAAAUACUGGGCUUAAAAUUGCUUGCUAAUAAGUGAAGAAAAACAGCUAUAGAUUCUCUUGUUUGAUGCUAGCAGCUAGCUUACGUCUUACAUAUAUCCUCAAUUGUAAAACCUAAUUAAUCUCAUGGCCGAUACGAAAUAGCUUGCUUCAGGCUGGUUGACAACUUGGGUUAGCUUUAAAAUCAAGGAAAAUGAUCCAUCUCAAUCAAACUCUAUAAGAUAUUAUAUAUGCAGGAAUGCAUGUUUAGGAAGUAACCAAAUGAUCUCUGUAAGCCAAUUUGCACUGCUAAACAAUAGCUGGGUCAACUUUGAAAUCAAUCUAUGGCGACUCCUUGAGAUAUAAUUAAGAAAUUUACAGUCUCCAGUCUUCAACCUCUGUUCUAGAAAUAAAUAUAUAUAUUAGUUAAUAUUUAUUUGUGAAACAUAUGUAUAUGUCACUUGCCUAUAUUACAAGCGAUUGCUUGCUGCGGAUUUUUUUAGUAUCAUGAAAUGAGAUCACACUCGUAUAUUUUUCUUCAGAGACAAAUUGAAUUUUUAUUCAUUUCCAUGCCCCUAAUUGAACUCCACGAAACCCUAAUCUUGCAUAUAUAAUAAUAAUUGGGGAACUUUUCAUGCAUAUAAAAUUUACUCUGUCGCUGUGCUGAGGCAGCACUAAUUAGAAAAUGGGAAAUGAUGGCCUAUGAAGAAAAGAGCACAUAUAAUACUAAAAUGAUUGAGCAAGCAUUGUUUUUCUUCUUCAGCAUCAAAUUUCCCUUUUGAACUCUACCCACCUAAUAAUUAAGUACAGAAACUACAUUUAUUACUAUUACUUAACUGUCUUGCGCGUACAAUAUAUUAGUGUCAUUUAAUCUUAAACAUCUAUAUAAUAUCAUAUAUUCAUUUGAAACGGUAAGUAAUUCAGUUACUCUAACAUAGACGAGAGUAUUAUUAGUAACUAUUAGAUUAGGGUAAGAAAAGCAUGCAGCAACUUGGAUUUAAAUAAACUGGUCAAUCUGUUAUGAACCCAACAAGGGAAAAACCCUAAAUUCUUCUAAUGCUUUGCGUUUCCUUCAAAGUAACCCCUUUUUAUUGGGUUCUGCAAACCCAAGUUUCAAACUUUCUCCUCUCCAUUCAUGUGAACUUGUAAGCUUUAUGUCCAAUUCAUUAGUCAAAACGGCAAUGGUGUACACAUCAGGAUGCUUGCAACAGAAGAAAACCCUAAAGAGAUGAAUUCCCACAAAAGUAAAAUGACCCAGCAAGAAGAAGAAGAAGAGGAAGAAGAAAUACCAAGCCAAACCCCCAAAUUUUUAAAAAACAAAAAAGGGUUUUCUUCUCUGAUUCAUAAGCACACAGAAGAGGGAGAGAAGUGUGAAAUAUGAGAAUCUAGGUUAGCUAGGUUAAGAGGAAGAAGCAGCAGAAAGGGGUUUUCCAGUGACCAACAUAUUUUACUCGAAACACAAUAAUUGAAUCCUUUGACGUUUCUUUCUUACUCCUUAAAACCCUCUUCAACACCCACACGCAACCUCCAUUGACCCCUCCAAUCUUCUCCUUCCAAUAGAAAACCCCAAACACCAACACCCAAAAAAACAAACCAAAAUAAAAAUCACAGCCGCAAUUUUGCUUACGAAACACCCAACUCAAAACUCCCAACUAUUCUCCCUUCCCUUUCCUUCCUCACUUAUAUAUAAUCUCAACUUGGCCUUUUCACCACGUUGCUCACUUGCUUGUGCGCAUCUCUUAUACUUUCGUUUUGGGUUUUUAUAAUUCUUCUUUUCUAAUUAACAGGAAUGAUAACUCGAAUAGUUCUUCAUUCAUAAUUGUAUAAAAAAAAUAUUAUAAAUUGAUAAUCUAAUGCUUGAAAAGUUAAUUUAUUUUGUUCGACACUCUAAACAACAACGAUGAUCAACUACAGAGAAAACCGGCGAUGUUCUCUUUUUCCUCUCGAUUGAUCCAAAUAGAACGUCGGAGACAUAACAAGUGGAAGUAAGUUUAAUUUAAUUUUAUAAGGGAGAGAAGAAAAGAAUUGAAAAGGGGUUGCCCUUCUCCAUACGUAGUCAAGCUUUUCUGGAAAUGUCAAUGUUUGAGGCUCCGGUUUAACUAGAACCUCUCAACCGGCCCACGUUACGUCCCACUUUGAGUUUUCUCUUAUGCCCGAACUACCCCUGCUGAGUCAGAUGUACUACCACGACUGCCGUUCCGGCCUGCCUUGAUUUAGUUAGUUAAUUAAUUUUUUUCUAACUGAAAAUAUCUCGGUGGUUCUGUUUUAAAUGCAUUUCAGUGCAGGAGUCACUGUAAUUAAAUUAUAAGGUUACAUGAGUGCUCCAAAGCUUUGAUUCUUUUCUUCUAUUUUUCAUAGUACUCUGUUGCUUGGCAGGUUGAAUGACUCUGGAUAUUUAUUUUGUACCAGAUUGAUGGUAUGACGUACUAGUUCAAUUUUAAUGGCAUAACAUGAUUUGUACUAUGGAGAAAAAGUCAUAAUUAUGGAAGAAAUUUUGGUGAGGAUGAAUAGAUUUGUCGACGCUGCUGUCAUCUUUUAUCUUGAGUUAAACUAAUGCUAGUACAUAGUUCAUUUUGUGACUAUCUCAUAACUCCAACGUCUAGUUCACUAGUAGAUAAUUAGAACCCGAAGAAUCUAACUAGAAUGUAAGACAAAUAUAUUUUUAUUUGAACCAUGAUACAUCAUAGAAUAUUCAGUAUACGAUGUGUAUCUAUACAAACUUUUAUGAAUCAUUAAGAUUAUAUGACACUAAUACAAAUAAAUUAUGAUCACAAUAUAAAUAUUGAUCAAAUGACUAAAAUUACACCGUAUACUUACACGACAAUAUAUAAUAAAAAAAAAAGACCAAUGUUGCAAGGGUUACAGUGUCUCGAAAUAAUAAGGUAGUUCUGAACGAUAGUAAGGACACGUGUAUUUUUGUUACUAGAGAGAUUGAGUGUGCUAGAAUUUGGUUUGGGAAGAAAAGGGGUAGGAGUGUCAAUAGGGAAGAGGAGAUUCGAGAGAUGAUCUCCUAAAAUUUGCAAUUUGCAGCUGAUCAAAAAUAGUGAGACAAGAAGAUUGAGGAAAUCUUGAAAUGGGGCAUCGACUGGAGGUGGCAUUUUUGUCACUUACCCUAAAUCCGACGUGGGUGCCCGUCGUUUUGGAGGCAUGUAGGGUCCCUGACUUUUAUUCCCUCACCCACCCCCACACGACGCCAUUACGCCCCCAAUUACCAAAUUACCCUCCUCCAGUUUCCUUUUUGCUUUUCAUCUUUUAAUUUCUACCAAGAAGAAAUAAAACUGAGAGAAAGAUGGGAAUGGUGAUGAUAGGAAACGCAACGCAAGUAGCAUGUUUCUAUUAGCAAUGUUUGAUACGAAAUAUUGAGCAUAGUUCAACACGCAUCGCUAUGCGUGUACUCCUAUAUGUGAUUCCAUCCAACCCAUUAAAUACGAGACCAAUAUUUGGUGCAUCAAAAUGAUCUUACACGAGUUUUGGUCCCCAUCCUUGCUAAACUAUUUUUAUGUAACAAGACAGAUUGUUUAAUACAUCCAAAUUAACCAAGAAAGCUUUCUCCUAAAUUUAUAUAGUAAGUAGUUUACUAUCAGUAUUUCCAACCGUUAGAUUUUAGAUUAAAUGAGUAGACAUCUUAUAUAUUCAAUUUCAUUUCUGAAACAUUUUUUCUCCCUAAUUUAUACACCGGCAAUGGUCAUGAUUUCAUGAACAUCGUAGUGAGUUCUUAUGUGAAGUCAAAGAUCUUGAGUCCACUUCUGGACGAACUCGGUCAUAUGGUUAGGUCUAAAUCGCACGAUUGAGUUGGACAAUGACCUCGAUGAAUUACAAACAUGCUUGAAAUUUUUUAUUUUGCUAGUUAUAUAUAUAUAUCAUAACUACAACUCAAUUUCAUAUCAUUUUUUGACAUACCAAGGUCCGAUUUCAUAUUGGUAAGAGCUGCUUUGUCUAACGAUUGGUCAAUAACUGAGAAAUUUGGCUUAUUUGUUUGGAUUUGUUUGAAAUUCUUAUAACCAUUGGACUGAGUACAAUCUAAGACCGUCAUCCUUACUCAAGCCAAUGGUUGUAAAAACUCCAAACAAAUCAAAGCAACAUAAAUCUAAGCAAAGAAGCCAGAUCUAUAACUGAGAGUUUAACCCUGGAGACAAGUAUGUAUUUUAAGUUUAUGAACCUUUUAUCAACCAUAUAUGGUAUUUAACUUGUGAAUUUCUCUUAUGACAUAUAAGGUAAACGAAUAAAACUAGUUGCAUUAUGGUUGUGGACGUUGUCGUGAGUCACUGCGAAAGUCAAGGGUUGCUGUGUGAAAUUGUUCUUUCAUUUAGAUUGAUCUAUAUAAUUAAGGUAAGGUCGACCCAAAAUAUAGUUCUAUAUCACUUGUUUAAUAAUUAAUCAUGUCAACAAGCUUACAAUUCGUUUUGGUUGGAAAUGAGAUAGCAAACUAUCACGAUUACGUUAACAAGUUAGUAACACAUAAAACCAGUCGGUAUCUGGAUUGAGGUUCACGAGAGUAUUCCAACAAAGUCAGACUAAUCUGCCGCCGCAAGCGCACGAACACAAAAGUCUCUCAAACAUGUUAGCCACAAACUGAUGGAAUUCAAGACUAAAACUUUAGACAUGGGGUCUCUAUUUUAAGUAGCACGACCAACUUUACAAUUUUUACUACACCAGGUGGUUAACAAGCUUAUCACUUAGAUAAAACACUUCUUUUUAACAAAACUUAAUUUUUCCCAUUUAAAUCAUGAAAUGCCCAUUUUAGAAGGAAUAAUGGCAGUAAAUUUGUUCUUACUGUUAGCUAUCAUUAACUUGCAUCAAAUUCAAUCUAGUGUUUGGUGCAAAGACAAAUUAGGAAGCUAGGAAUCUGGACUCCUUAGCUUGUAUCUAAUCAUCCCUCCUCACAUAAUAAGUCCAAUAAGUGUUAACAAAGCCAAAUUGUCCACGCAAAGAACAAGUGCUACUUGCUUCUUCAUCAACAAAAAAAAAAUUUGCUACUUGCUUCUUAUUUUGGGUCGUACGGAAAGAAAAGCAAGAGAGAGCUUCAUUUGACAACAACAAAAAAAAAACAGAAAUUAAAUUCCAAACAAAAAAUAAAAAGAGGACGAAAAUCCGUACUUUCACGUUUGGUGAGCACCCAACGGUUUUGCUUCCCAGCAGCACCAUAACCAUUCUCGCUGACCCGUGAGGGCCACAACCGUAAUUUCGGAAAGGCCCUCCUCUUUGGGGGGUGACCUACAGCUGUCAGCGUGACACAAGCUUACUUCAUCCCUACGGAGGACCGUAAAAGGCAGUUUGCUAACUACUCGGACUCUAAACGAAAAGACGAGAACACCCUUCCCGCCUCGGGACGGUAACUCCACCUUGCGUGACAGGACCGAAAUGCCACCCGCCAGCGCUGAAACGUUUCGAAGCGUCCAAGGACAAAAGCGGGAAUUUGAAGUUAGGGUGUUUUGAGUUUAACGGGUUCGGUUAUUUCCAAGGGGGUUUUGGUUGGAAACGGAAAAGUUAAGAGCCCGGGACGUUUUGUUAAAAUAGUGUCAAAGGGAAAGGAGAUUGAGUCUGGUUUACGCCAAAGGGGGUCUCUCUCGUCUUGUUCUUCCUUUCUUUCCAUUGUCUCUAACACCCCCCCAUUACUAUAAAAGAAGCCACACUUUCUCACUAUCAUACCCACCAUUGAUCCUCCCACCUUCUCCCCCCAACUUUUUCUCCCUCCUUGUUCUUGUUCCCUCUUGUUCUUGUUGUUGCUAAUCACAUCAUUCUUUCAUCUUGUUCAACCUCUAAUGGAACUAUAAAAUACUUGCCAUCUGAAUUCCCUCAACUUGAACUGGACUAAAGGCCUUAAAGGGCAAGCACUUGUUUAAUUGGGGUUUCAAGUUCAAAUUUUUGUUGUUCGGACAUUAAGAUAUGGAGAAGCUUAGUUUUGUGAGGAAUGGAGAGCUGAGAUUGCCUCCUGGUUUCCGGUUCCAUCCAACUGACGAAGAGCUUGUUCUUCAGUACUUGAAGCGCAAGGUCUACUCCUGCCCUUUGCCUGCUUCCAUCAUCCCUGAGGUUGAGGUCUGCAAGUCUGAUCCUUGGGAUUUGCCAGGUUGGUGUUUUUUAUUUUCAGUUUAUUGAAAUGGUUCUACAAUGUCAUGAGAAUUAGUUGGUUCUGAUGGAAAUGGGUUUGUGGGUUUAGGUGACUUAGAGCAAGAGAGGUACUUCUUCAGCACUAGGGAGGCAAAGUAUCCAAAUGGGAACAGAUCAAACAGAGCUACAGGUUCUGGGUAUUGGAAGGCAACUGGUUUGGACAAGCAAAUUGUGGCUUCCAGGGGUAACCAAGUUGUGGGGAUGAAGAAGACUUUGGUUUUUUACAGAGGUAAACCUCCACAUGGGGCUCGGACCGAUUGGAUUAUGCACGAGUAUCGCCUCGUUUUAGCUGAAGAUAAAAAUAACUCCACUACCCAAGUGAGUUUCAAUUUUACAGUAUACCAAAUUUGAGCAAAACCCCAUUUCAAACACCCUUGUUAAUGUUUGUUAAUGGUUAUUUUCAUGUGUUGUUGCAGAGCCAUGUUCCGGUGAACAAUUGGGUUCUUUGCCGCAUAUUUUUGAAGAAAAGAGGCAGUGGUAAAAAUGAAGAGGAACAAGUUCAAGUGCAGGCCUGCAAUGUUGACCGAGUGGCGAAAAAACCAAGGAUUACUCGACCUGUUUUCUACGAUUUCAUGACCAAAGACAGAGCCAAAUUGAGCCUUGCGCCUUGUUCUUCAUCCUCAGGUUCAAGUGGAGUCACAGAUGUCGUAUCUAGCGAGACAGAGGAGCGUGAAGAGAGCAGUAGCUGCAAUAGUCUUUCUUAUUUUAGAAGAAAACAGUGAAGUCUCUUUCUGAAGCUAGUUUCUUGUUGCUUAAUUUGUCAGAAUAACCAUCUAGAAAAUCAAUCCAGUAAAAUCAGUCUUGGGUCAACUUAUGUUUUAAGAGCCUGCCUCCCCCCAGUGUCUGUGAUUCAAGAUAGAAAUCGGCGUUGAAGAAUUAACUUGUAGUCGGUGUUGUUAUGAAGAGCAAAUUGAGCAAUGGAUGUUAGCAGAUGGUUGUUUAUGUAAUCAAAUCCCCCAAAGUUUUCUGAAUUCUCCUCGUAGCGCACUUUAUUUCGCAUUCUUGUACAGAAAGGCAUAUAAUUUGGAAGCCAAUAACAAUCCAUAGAUUAUGGAAGAAUCGAAUAUAAUCUCAGAAAGAUCAAUCAUCACCGUCGUGCAAGGUUCCCAAAAUCUCUUUGUGGAAAAAAGGCAAAAUCAUCACUCAAAAGGAACCCAAUUCCUCUAACAUUGUUUUCAAACGGACCAAGUCCACUCCAACUCAAAUCUGCAUCAUUGAAAAAUCAAGCGCAGAAUCUUAUUCCGAGACACAGACAUUCCGACUCUAAUGUAAAUUUAUUUCAUCUUCUGCAAUAUUCCUCCCUCGUUUCAGUGUCAUACAAGUAACCAGAGGACUAAUAAGGAUAGGUAUGAUGGUGCAGGAGAGACAGGUUUAACUAAAAUUUGAAUCUUCAAGACCAGUUAGAAAUUAAAAAACACAGUGGAUUGCUAACAGGGACAGCUGCGAUUAUUGAAAACAAAAUGAGGCAAAGGGACCCAAGUUUGAAAACUGAUCCAUGACCUUAAAUUCCCAAAAGCAUAUGAUUUCUUGCUCAUUCCUGCGAGUUUACGUAAACGGUACCUCUUAAUCCAGAAGAAGAAUUUAAACAAAAAAACUCCGCACCACGUUUUGUCAAAGAUGCUAAUCAUGACAUUGUGUGUUUUAUGUUUCUUAAUCAAAGUAAACGACCGCUGUGGAACAAUAUCUAUUAUAAUGAUAUGGGUAAAACCCAGAUUAGAGGAGGGAUCAUCCUCCCACCAUCUUCCAAGUCCUCUGCAGCAUUGACUUGAAGGAAUAUGAAAAAUGAGAUGCUAGCACUUCAUGCUCAUAAUGUAAAAUACUUUUCUCCAUUACUUCCUAGUUCCUACUAAUACAAAUUAAUAAUUUCGCUCCAAUUUUGCAGCCGUGGCAGACAUGCAAGAACCACGAGCCUGCUAUAGUUGACUCAAACCAUUAGUUACUAAUAUCUUAUCAAAGCCAUGAAACACGAAAGUACAAGCUUUAUCAUUAUGGUAAUCACAAUAAAACAUCAAUUAUCAACUGUUAUAUAAAUUAAAGGUCAGUGUUUGCUAACAUUACUUGAUCAUCAAGAACGACUCGUAAUAUGCCGUCCGCUAUACGGAUUUUGAGAGUUCAAUAAAGAUAGUUACUCUCGUUUUUGACUAAAUAGUUUAUAAGAACUUUAUACGUUCCGAUUUUGUCACUAAUUAGAGAAAACAUGUAUGUCAUUAUGUCAUAAAGAUUAAAAGAAACAUGAUGUCUUAAUUCACUAUUACUUGAUAGAUGAACUGUGAAGGAAAACUACAAGAGCUUGGUGGUUGUCCUUGAAAAACAUGGAGGAUGAUAUCAUAGGCUAGAAAGGUUUGAAGAUAGGCCACAAACCCAUGAGAGGGCGCCAAGUGGACAUCAGGUACACAAGGGACGGCAUUAACAAUAUUAAAGCCUCUUGGUUAUGCAUAAUUGAGCUAAUUUGACAUGCCAUAAACAGGAAAAAGGAGAAGGAACUAAAUUAUCAUAUAGAUAAGGAAAUACAUGCCGACCCAAGUUUCUUGUGACACUGGUGUAUCAAGAAGAGAGGGGCUUUUGGAGUUCUUCACGUCACUGUUUGCUAUUCUGAAAUAUGAAUUUUCAUUUCCCAUCAGAGAAAAUCAAAAAUAAAAAAAUCAGAGAAAGGAGAACUUGGAUUGGAUCUGUGGAUUUCUGACUUGGGUUAUCAAAUUGUCAAUCACGUGGGAAGCCCGUCAUGGUAGACCACACAGCAAAACUGAUUAGGUCAAUCACUGAUAUAGAAGAAGAAACCCCCAAAACUGUCCUAGAAACACACAAGAGGUGUCCUUGUCGAGGGAAGGGCGUUUCCGUCAUUGCACCAAUGACAUUACCCAAGCAGACAGGGAAUGUGUAAUGCUCCUCUGAUUAAUCUCAAUUGACCAGUUCCAGACACUAGAAGGCAGAAAACCAACCCAUCACUUUUAUAUGUGUUUUUCUCUAAAAUCAAGUUUUCAGGGGUUGCUUAGUAUCUAUGCAACAAAGACAUCUCCUAAUUUGUAUUUAACUAGUUCCAAACAGCAUUCUCUAGUUCAGAUUUAACCCCGGUCGCAAUCGCCGCGAUUAAUUUGUGGACCUCUUGUUGUUAAUGAAGGGUUGUCUCUAGAAAAUAAACUAAUCGUAAACCUAAAAUUCGAGGUGAAACAAAGAGGGAAGGGGAAAGGGAUCCAAAGCUUGAGAAUCUGAAAUGAUAGGGUGGGCUGGGAAGUAUUUUAAAUUUAAGUGGGAGAUGUCUCCCACACGCAACUAUUUCCUCUCAAACAGUUUAAAAAGCCAACACCAACUCUUGGAAACAAGAUAUGAAUAUUUUGCCCAGGUGGAAAUGAAUGGGGGGAAGAUGAUAUUUUUUGUGGUGCUAGGCUCAUUGCCAGAGAUAAAAGAGAAUCCCCCAACUUGCAUGUGAUGACUGAGUAGCUUCUUUGUUUUUUUGUUUUCCUUUGCCCUAAACUAGAGGUACUUUUCGAUCAAGUGCCUAAUGUGCAGUUAUGUUUCUUCCCUUUCAGGAUAGAAAGUGAAAGGUUUCAACAUCCACAUUAACAUAUGUAGCUUUCAUUGGCGUAAAAUCUGAAAUAAAACAACACAAGACAGCACAUAUAUAUCAAAUAGGGUUGUAAAACUGUUAAAAUCCGAAGUAAAAUCUAAACCACAAAUUGUUUGAUAAUCAAAUGACCAAGUAAACGGGGGACAGCAUACAUAUAAUAUAAUAGCAUGUUAGCUGAACGCACACAAGAUCUCCAAAGCACAUGUAAUAGCAUCAAAAGGGUUGCGUGUAAAAGAGCAAGAUCACAAAGUGAAUGAGCACAACUGCACAAGUAUCUCUCUCUUCAUAUUCUAUGACUGAUUAGCGCGAACACAUAAAGAAAAUGAAAUGAGGAGGAAUUAAUUAAUUUCUCAAAUGUCAAAAUCAGUCUUGUACCUACAGAAGAGACUUGCUAGCAAGGAAGUUUACAACUCCUUCUGGUGGUUUUCUUUCGUGUCCACAUUCUUUUUUGUUGUCAAACAUCACAGUUUUCUUAUAAAUGAAACGGACCACACAUCACCCCUAUGAGAAAAUUCAGUAUUAUCCACUGUUUAUAGAAUUUGGGAGUGCAAAGAUUCCCUUGAAAAAAAAAAACACCCCUUCAAACCCAGAAGGGAUACUUGAUAUUUCAUUAGCCAAUGAACUGUGUUGCAUCACUUGUAUGAAUCAUUGAUUCAAAAAUGCUUAAGAGAAAGUUAUUUCUUAUUGGUCUUAUACACCCAAUCCAUCAAACCCGCUUCAAAGACUGGGUAUCGAGAUUCCGCAAACAGUAUGGUUUUGAGAUAACUCUAGCAAAAAUAGCUAAUCCUACGGAAGUAGCGAACCACUGUCAUGAACAUUCCACUGAACCCCUUGUUGGCAGAUAUAAACAUUAGUAGUAUAUAUCUAUCUAUUUUUCACAAGAUAAUAGGCUGAUGGGUCAUCUGUUCUCUAGACAAGUAACCAACUUCAAAUUAAGGUCUACUAAAUAUGCAAUCUUAGGCUGCUUUUAAAUUAGAUGUGGAAUUGAGUCUUUUAAACUGUCAAGUAGUUUAAGGACAGGAAGCAAAAUAGCAAACAGGAAUAUCAAUAAGCCUCAAUUUUUUUUUUUUUGACAACAAUAAUAAGCCUCAAGUUGAAGAUACACAUUGGAUGCAAGAAUAUCAAAAUAAAUUAUUACUAUCGAAUAAUAUCAGAGCUAUCUAGGGUACAACUAAUCCAAUAACUUCAAAUAUGCCAUACAGUAUGCACUUAGAUAGAGAAAGAUCAAAAUGCAGGUUCAGGAUGACAUUCAGUUAAAUCUCAUAACGUACAGUGCAUACAAAUAGGCAUUAAGGCCAAUAACGAAAAAACUAAUGCAUUCAGUUUGUCUAGCACUCUUACUCAUUUCCAACUAUUCAGCUGUCUUUCUCACAACUUCGCUAGCAUCAAGCCCAGGCGAUUUCGAAGGAGGUGGUUCCGCACAUGCCCUCAGGACAGCCUCAUUCUGCAAGUGCCAUUUCGAGAAGUUCAAUACAAAUUUUAACAAAUAUGUGCUAUAAGUUGGAACAGGAAAGCUAACAGCAUCUACACUGCAUAAGAAAAAGCUUCCUAUGUACCAGCCCAAAUCACAAAUGCUUAUAAAACUUGGGAAGUAACUACAAAUAGAGGAUCACGGAUUGCAUCAUGCAAGUAUAUUCUGACUGCAUGGGGAAGACUUUCUCAAUUUCGCAACGAAAUACACAAUACAUGCAUCUGAAAUCCGCAAUAUGAUGCAGAACACACACAUAAAAAUAAAAAAAUCCGACAUUACAGAAAGGGCUCAGCUAGCUUCAACCACCGGAGCCAAUAACUAAACAUUACAGAAGCAAUGAUUACCCUCCAGUCUAUAUCCCUUAACCUGACGACAUUAGAGAUGUGACUACGAGCAAUGACUACAGAAGGAAUCAAACUUGUACAUGUUUAUUCAUAUAACAUUUCAUCUAAUUGGCAGAAAGGCUCCCUCCCAAUCCACACAAUCUGUAUCGCUACUCAACUCAAAUUCAUUUCCUUACGAUUGGGACUAGCACAAACACAAUUCUCAAUUCCUAUUUGUGAAAACUGAAAGUAUCUAUCAAUUCGAAAACAUGUGAAGCAAUGCACAACAAUCCACUCACAAACUAGAUAAACAUUAUGAAAAUUUUGAAGUGACGUAAUCAAUUGAAGCAAAGCAAGUACGGAGGCGUGAGAUUUAAUUAGUAAAACCCUAACCGGAGGAUAAACCCUAAUCGGAAGAGAUGGAGAGACUAAACCUGCCAAACACGGAGGAGGCGCUUCUUGGCGUUGGCUUUGCGGGUGGUGGUGAGCUUUAUUCUCUUCCAAACCAGGCCGCCGGAGUCGUGCUUCUUCACUAUCUCCAACACUCGAGUCCCCCAAAACGCGCCCGCCAUCUCUGCUCUCUUUCUACUCUCUCUUCUAAUUUCAGUGGGGUUUUGUUGCAGAGUAUUGGGCUUAGUUCGAGAGAGGCCCAAAUUGGCCCGUUUAACUUAUAACAAUGGACCAAUAGUCUCAUUAUUGAGAGUUGAGAACUAAUUACUAGUUUAAUAGAUGCAUGAUUAGUGACUUCCAUUGAUAAUAGAUCAAAUAGAUCCAUCAGUGAUCAGUUCGAAGUAUAUCUGAGGGUCAUUCAGUCAAAUUCCUCUACUCAAACUUGAAUGCAUAAACAAAAGCACAUAUUUCAUUAAAGCAUAACAUUUCCUUAAUACACUUGUAUAUUUAGUUAUCUUAAAAUAAAAGCAUUUUCAUUGUCAUUUUAUCUAGUGGCUGCAAAAACCUUCAGGCAUGAAGAAAGAGAUCUGAUCGAAUUUGAUUAUAUAUACAAAUUAAGUUAAUAUUUGAGUUUCUUAUGAUCACGAUAUAUUUGUUCUCUAGGCCGAAUUGUGUCCAUGGAGCUUUUAGUUUAUAUCUCUGAUUCUCUUUGCUCCCGUCCUUGGCUAGCAUCCAUUUGAAACACCGUAAAAUUGGCGGUGCUCUAAGUCCAAGAGAUCAAUUCGAUCAUUUGAACUAAUUAGUUAUUACUAAUUAAUCCAAUAGAUUCAUGAUUAGUGAGUUUCAUUAAUGAUAGAUCAGAUAGAUCCAUCCGUUCGAAGUACAUCGGAGAGUCAUCCUGUCCUCUACUUAAAUUUGAAUACAUGAAACAAACACAUGUACGUAUUUCACUAAAGCAUGCGCUACUUGAUUACUAUUUCUACUAUAUAUAUAUAUAUAUAUAUAUACGAUUUUUCUCAACUGCGGAUGGCCGCACAAAAGUUUUGGUGCGAAUUUCUAUUUUUGCACCACUUUUCGAUCGAAUUUCCUCAUCUCCACCGUUUAAUAUUUAGAUAAUAUUGUGUAGAUCAUCUCUGCAAAAUUUCAGCCAAUUUAGUAAUCGUUAAGGCCCUCAAACUCGAAAAACAAAUGAACGGACUGAAUUCUGUCCGGUUCAUGUUUAUACCAGAAAAACACAAUUUUGAGGGCCUUAACGAUCACCAAAUUGGCUGAAAUUUUGCAGAGAUGAUCUACACAAUAUUAUCUAGAUACUAGACGGUGGAGAUGAGGAAAUUCGAUUGAAAAGUGGUGUAAAAAUGAAAAUCCGCACCAAAACCAUUGGGGCAGACAUCCGCAGCCGAGAAGGGCUAUAUAUAUAUAUAUAUUAUACGUAUUUAAUGAUCUUUAAUAAAAACAUUUCGUUUUAUCUAGUGGAGAGGAGCACUAGAACCUUUAGAUAUGAAGAAAGAGAGCUGAUCGAAUUGGAUUAUGUAUAAACAAAUUAAGUCAAUAUCAGAGUUCCUUAAGAAUGUACGUGAGUUUCUUAAUUAUGAUCACGAUAUAUUUGUUCUCUAAGCCGAAAUGUUUCCAUUGAGCUUUUAGUUUAUAUCUCUUUGCUCCCGUCCUUGGCUAGCAUCCAUUUGAAAUUAAACAUGCGUUAUGUGAUUGAAAUGGUCCAAGUCAUAAUCACCAAAAAGAAAUUGACAUCAAAAUAAUUUGUUUCAGUGAUGUGUUUCUAUGCUGUAGUUUAGGGCCAGGACUCGGGGCAAGAUGUAUAGAAGCAUGUAUACGGUGGUGCUCUAGGUCCAAGAGAUCGAU